GGCAAUUGAAGCUGAGGGUUGGAAAAGGGAGGGAGGUUUGAUGGAGAUAAUGCAAUCUGGGGUCCGCCGGAAAGAUGAGAGAUGUGGCGUGAAUGAUGAUUUGGUGAACCCUCCAGGGAUCUGCCCCCUGUGGGAGGAUAAGAAGUAAAAGAAGAUUUUGGCACUAGAAUUGGUUCGCUAGAGUAGUGAUGCUGCUGCUGCUGAUGCUGCUGGAGCUGCUGUGGCUGCUGCUGUUCAGGAUAUGAUGAAGUUCUGUACAGAGGCUUCAAUUCUGAGAGAUGGGCAGAAGAAGCAUGGGGCUGUGAUGACCAUCUUUUGCCAUCCUGAAGGCUUUCAGUCUCAAACAUAUGUUGAUCAAACCAGUAAUGUAGAUCCUCUUCCUGUGCCCAUUCAGCAGCUGAAGAACCUGAAAAGAACAUUUCAGGAAACUUUGAUCAGUUGCAAUAUGACACCCAGGAAAAAAAAAAAAGGAAGCAUAUCAUCAGGCUCCAAGAAUUAUUCGCUGAAUGUCAAUAUGAUACAAUUGCAGAAGAUAGAGGCAGAUAUAGUGGUAUACAUUUGACAGGUCCCACUCAGAGGAUCUCCCUGAGGACCCUAACCCACAUUUUACCUCACAUACAGCAAGAAAACCCAUUCUGAAGAGUGGGAGACCAACUAGAAGAUAUGCAAUGCCAUCAGGCACACAUUUAACAUCUCCAUGGAAAUACCAUAAAAUGAGUGGACAAUAUAUCACUUGCAAAACAACCAAGUAAAUAAGCAAAUUAGCCAAUUUAUACCCCCAUUCUUAUAUCACACUAAAACACUACUUACUAGGCUUGCCUGAGGCUUCAGGAAUCCCCUUUUAGAUUUGAGAACAUAUGAAAAAGGAGGAUCAGUUUGAAGUUAUGACUAGGCGCUAGAGGGGUAGUGAUAAUUUUGUGGGUGUUCCUUUAUGCAGUGGGAUCCAAAGAAAAGAGCAUAGUUGUGAAAGGCGCUCCUAGGCUCGGGGCGGCGCGACACCCCUUCACGAAAGCGCUGCUUAAGCCGCAAGGCGCUCACCUCCGACAAGGCGAUAUGCGGUCAUCUAACUCGCCUCCGGCCAAGUACGCCCUCCGACCCCUCCUUCUCCUUCAGUCCGUCAGGUUGCAGAGGGUUGGGGCUGAGCCCUAAUUUCUUUUUUACUUUAUGGGUCCAAAAUGACGUCGUUUUGGCCCUUUUAAUUUUAAAAGGAACAGGCCAAAACGACACCGUCUUGGCCCUGUUUUCCUUUCCAACCCCCUUUUCUGGUAUUUUUCAACUCGACACCACUCCCAAUCGUGCCCUAGCCUCAGUUGUGCAAUGGAGAAGUGAAGAAGAAGAAGAAGAAGAAGAGGAAAAAUAGGAGAAAAAUAGAGGGAAAAUAGUCACGUACCUUCCAUUAGGUGCGCCUUUCACAACUAUGAUUUGCAAUAUGGAUUUGGAUUUGUUUUUAUGCUUGGAGUUCUUUAUUUUAUUUUUUUUGUUGAUUAAAUUGAAGUUGUGGAUGAUAUUUGAUGAUUUAUGUAUUUAGGACAAAUAAAUUAUUGUUAAAUUUGAUUAUAUUAUAUAAAAAUAUAUAUGUAAAUUAAGGUACGCCUCACUUCACUAAAGCCUGCGCCUUAAGCACGUCUUGCGCCUCAGGCUCCAGGACUACUUUGCGCCUUGGUGCGCUUUGAGACUUUUAAAACUAUGGGAAAGAGAAGGACCUCUAAGGACUUAAGGCCUAGAAACUUGGCCUUUGAGGAAUGCAGCCACUAGCAGAUUAUAAGGAAGCAAGUUGGGGGUGAAAAUCUAGAGCCACGUGGGAUAAGGAAGCUAAUUGGAACACCAAACUUUUUUCAAUGAAUUGCCAAAAAGCCUACAGAAGAUGAAUUAUCUGAGCAAGAUUAAAGUUGAUGGGUGUGGUCAUAAUAAUUAAUGAUAACAAGUUGGGGCUCUCAUGUUUCUUUCAGCAAGUAUACUGAGAUACAGGAGUUUGAUAGCAUCAUUUUGAACCUGCUCCAUGUAACAUAGGUCUUCAAGAGCUAAUCUAGUCAUGGAAUGGUUGUCACAGGAUUUGUAGCUAUGACCAUAACAAAAGAUAAAAGGACAAUUUGAAGGCUAGCAUGAAGACAAUCGAACUCGUAACAUAUACAUAUACAACUUUAUUUUUAUAAGAAAAGAUAUAUUGAAGCACUUGAAAAAAGGUGCUAAAAAGUAUGCACGGAGUAAACAAAUUGGGCCCAAAAGCAAACCAAAAAAGGAAAAGAAGAGAAAAACCCACCACCCUAACAACAAGCAGCCCUAACCAACAGAAAGAAAAGCAGAAACAACCCAAACAACAAGGCUAAACAAUAGAAAAACCCUACAACUGGAAGCACCCUCUUUCCUCAAUCCCCAGCACCACUCCCCUUUCCUCUAGCAGUGAACGGAGAGCUAUUGUAGUUAAUCAAGCACUCUUAACUUUCGCAUUUCCCUCUUGAAACGGGAAGAAGACCUUUUCUUACCCCCACAACCUCUUCUUUACUCCAAUUUUCUGACAAUAGCACAAAUUUCCUUCUCAAAGCCCGCAACUGGCAUCCCCAAACAAUUACUGAACUCAACAAAACCACUAGGAAGGCUAUUAAAAUCCUCUCCCUCCAAGGCACCGAAGUCCACAUCCCUUUAACACUCCAACUCCUCGGCCCUAGCAACCAUCUCCAUACCAGAGGGCUCCUUCAUAGUCUUCCCCGAGAGAUCCAGCAUGCUGUCAUCCUGCAGCACCAUCAUUAGCGGCUGACAUCGAGGACUUCGAGGACCCAAGGAAAGGGGGGAAGGCCCAGAUUGCCCAUUCGCCUCCGCCACGAGUGCCUCAUCUGUAAUCGCAGCUCAAGAAGUUAACGAAUCCANNNNNNNNNNNNNNNNNNNNNNNNNNNNNNNNNNNNNNNNNNNNNNNNNNNNNNNNNNNNNNNNNNNNNNNNNNNNNNNNNNNNNNNNNNNNNNNNNNNNGGCUAUACUCUGCCCUCUUCUCCUGACAGAUCCGCCAAAGCUUUCUCCUCUUCUACUCUCAAGCACGCAAAGAACACACCCCUCCUGCACCUUCUCUGCAGAAGGAGCAAGCCCUAACAAGCCCUCAUCACCUUUAAAGCUCCACUUAAAGGCCCAACCUCCUCUGAGGCCCUUCCCACAAUUCUGUUAGUACAAACUUGGGCCAGGCCCAAUCUUAGUGGACCCUUCACUCUUAUAUCCGAAAACACAAAGGCAUCCCCAUUUUCAACACUGCAAGCCUCUCCCAACCCUUGUCGGCCCAAAGAAGAAGACCCAAGAACCUCCCCACCAGCCUUCACAAUGACAUCAGGCCCAACUACCCCACCACCUCCCAUAACAGCUGUAACCCUCUUUUCACGUCCUAGGAAAUCCCCCCUCCUCUCUUCCUUUUCCCUUAACAGAUACUGCUAUAGAGUCCACUGUUCCCUCUCGUACCAACUUUGGCCUGCAACAAGUCAAACCUACAGCAGCUGCUUUUGCGUCAAAACCUGCAGCACCCUCACCCGCCACCUUAGACCUGCAGCAGAGCAACUCGACAGCUGCUGUAGGACCCAAGGGUUGCAGUCCCCUCCCAUCAUCGGCGCAUGAGAAAACUCCCACUCCUGCCCCAACUUCUUGCUCACUGGGCACACAGUCUCUUCUUCUAGGCUCCACAAACAAAAAACCUGGCGAAGCUUCCCACCACAGUUGUAAGGAGAAGCUGGAGUUGCCCACUACCACUUGCAACAAGCUAGGUAAAAAAACUCCUAACAGGAUGCACCAAAAUCCUGGCCCAAUGCAGAUUAUUCAAAAGAGCUGUCUUCAUCCACAGCAGCAAACCCACCACAUUCAUCCCCAAUCUUCUUAAACACCACCUGACUCCACAGGUGUAACACGAAAUCCAAUACCCUCAUCCACAUCUCCUUGGCAUGACCCCUUCCUCAGACAACCAACCUUGGGAGUCCGCCUUACCAAGUGCAGCACUCUCUCCUUAACCCUUCAAGAACCUCUUGCAAGCACCCUUUCUGCCUCAGCAAAUAUCUCAAAAUCAAAUAAGAGCAAGUUACCUCCAAAACCUGAAAUCUUCAACNNNNNNNNNNNNNNNNNNNNNNNNNNNNNNNNNNNNNNNNNNNNNNNNNNNNNNNNNNNNNNNNNNNNNNNNNNNNNNNNNNNNNNNNNNNNNNNNNNNNNNNNNNNNNNNNNNNNNNNNNNNNNNNNNNNNNNNNNNNNNNNNNNNNNNNNNNNNNNNNNNNNNNNNNNNNNNNNNNNNNNNNNNNNNNNNNNNNNNNNNNNNNNNNNNNNNNNNNNNNNNNNNNNNNNNNNNNNNNNNNNNNNNNNNNNNNNNNNNNNNNNNNNNNNNNNNNNNNNNNNNNNNNNNNNNNNNNNNNNNNNNNNNNNNNNNNNNNNNNNNNNNNNNNNNNNNNNNNNNNNNNNNNNNNNNNNNNNNNNNNNNNNNNNNNNNNNNNNNNNNNNNNNNNNNNNNNNNNNNNNNNNNNNNNNNNNNNNNNNNNNNNNNNNNNNNNNNNNNNNNNNNNNNNNNNNNNNNNNNNNNNNNNNNNNNNNNNNNNNNNNNNNNNNNNNNNNNNNNNNNNNNNNNNNNNNNNNNNNNNNNNNNNACAAAAAGUGUUUCAAUGGCACUAGUUCUGAAAAAGGAAUUAAAAAUCAACUAUAGUAAACUAAAAAAGGAUAUGCAAGAUUUGUACUCACUUUCUCUGGAUCCCCUAUCACCAAUAAUUCCUGCAUUUCUUGGUCCACUAACACCUGUUUCCAACUGUGACAAAACAAACAGAACUUAGAACACAAGAAACAAAUAACCCAGAAUAUAACAUUAGGAUGUAACCACUUAUGAGUCAAAAUCAGAACUAACAAAAUGCAUAUGUGUGGAGAAUCCUGCCAGUAAAUACCAGAUUAAUAUAAUUUUGGGGAAUAAGACAUUUCACUCCCCUGUUCUCUCAAUUCCUAAUUUUCUUUCUAAAGACAUAUAUACAUAUGUAUAGGGGAUUAUGAGAAAUGCGUUCAUUGGCAGGCAACAUGUUGAUUUAACGAACCACCUAGUAAAAUAAAUUAGAAGAAUUUAACCAUCAAAAUUGAUGAGCCAAGACUUUGAUAGGGCCAUUUUAUCAUCCUUUUAAAUUGGUGAACCAAAUUAGACAAGAAAAUUACAGUACUUUUCAGAAUAUGAUGUGUGUCAGAAAAAAUGGGGAGAUGGCACCAAUAGGUCAUGUUUGGAGUCCUGGAAUUGAGUUCCAUACAAGAAUAUUCUAUCUGAACGGACAGAACCCACCCCUUUUGUAGUGGGAUAAAAAUCUUUCACCCUAACUUUUCAUUGUCAUUUUUCCACACCAAUGUGGUCAAGAUCAUUAGGAAAUGUGGGAUGUCAAUGGUUAUGCAAUUCUUAAUGCUCACUUAGUAAUUUUUCCACCAUUACACAGGCUCAGAUUCUAAUUGUAGAUGAUGUGCAGGCUAUUCAUAUGGCAAAAUGAAUAUCUUAUAAUAUAUUCAAAAUAACAGGAAAAGCUGCAGCUUUUAGAGUCCAUGAGCUUCAAAUCAAGUAAACAUAAGACCUUAUGUAAGUUUGGUAGUGCAUCAACCUAAAUCCAAACAAUAGUGUGCUGACAAAUGCAUCUAACAGGAGAACACACCAAUAUUUUUAAACUUAAGAAUUUAAUCAAAGGAUUCAAAAAGGCACCAAGUCCAUAACAGGACAAUCAUGUAACAAGCUAAUUUUUUUUUACACACACCACUGCCAUAUCAUCUCCAUGUUUAGGAAAUCUUUUUCUAUAAGACAGUGUUUCAGAAACCUCACCUUUGAAAAAGUACUAGCAAGAUCAUCAAUAUCAGAUAAAGACCUUAGAACUUCACCCUGAAAAUGUGAGCAAAAAAUAAAAAAUCAGUUGCAUAAACUAAAGAGUACUGCUCUGAUCAUUAAAAAAAAAAUCUAGCAAGUAAUGCAUUUGAAUAGUUAGAAGUCAAAACUAAAUCUUUAUCCACUUAUCUAGCAAAAUACUGAGCAUUUAAAGAAGGGAUAUGUGUUUACGUCAAGAGAGGAUGAGAGACAGAGAGAGAGAGAGAGAGACUAGAAUGUAUUAACAUGUCAAAUGAUAAAACAAAGCUGGUAAACACAAGAUUACAAUUUUCCCCCCUUCUUGGGUGAGGGUGACCUCAACAGCAAGGCCAGAUUUCCCAAUAGAAAAAUAACAGAGAGCUGAGAACUUAACAGACAAAUUACUUAAAUUUUUUUUUAUCAGAAAUAAAUGAUUUAAUGAAUUAUUAAAGGUUGUAAAAAUGCCCAAAAACGGGUUGCCACUCAACCCAUUUGAGGCAUCUAUAUUGGAAUGCCAGUGAGAGCCUAUCCGCCACUUCUUCAAGGAGCUUCACCCAAAAUAAAUUAACUCCUGCCACUUUGGAUCAGAAGAUAUCAUUUUAAAUAGCUGAACAAAAAUGGGUUGUCACUCAAUCCAUUUGAGGCAUCUAUACCAAAAUUCCAGUGAAAGCCUAUAUGUCACUUCUUCAGGGAGCUUCCCCCACAAUAAAUUAACUCCUGUCAUAUUGGAUCAGAAGAUAUCGGUUUAAAUAAUUGAACUUCUUGAGUUGCAGAAUCUUAUCAGUUAGAAACUAAGCACAGAUGAUUAGAUUCAGAUACUUCCUUGGGGACCGUCGCCCAAACUAAAUGACUCCUACAAUCAAUUUAGAUAAGCAAAUAUUACCAAAAAGUACAACAUCAUUUAGCCCCUUGGCUUGUUCAAGUCUUAUCAUUUAGAAACUACACACAAAUGACUGGGUUCUGAAACAGCUAUCUAAGACUAAAAAUUAUAAUAAUGAAUUCUCCAUUCACAGGUGUGGAAUGACUCCAUUCCACAGUGUAACACGAAAUGAUCAGUUCCUUGAUGAAAAAUGCAUAUAUGUGCUCUAUGCAUGUUGUUUCUUAAACCCCCGACUCCCUAGAAAGAUUUGCAAGCCAGUCAAUUUGAACCAUGAAGCAAAUAACAAAAUGAUUCCAACAAUCCCUCCACAUUUUAAAAUUAUUUAAAAUAUUAAAUAAAAUAAAAAAUAAAAGAUACUUCUGAAUGAACCCUGUGCAGGAAUUUACCUAAAUUUCAUCAUCUAAAAAAUUUCAUACAGAUUAUUAGGCCUCAGCCCCGUCCAGGUACGCAGAGAAAAGAAAACCUUACAUAUUGUAUUGGAAUAAUAUAUCAUUGGUAUUCUUUCUCUCUCUCUCUCUCUCUCUCUCAACCUUCCAUUUAUCCAGAGAGAGAGAAAGAGAGGGAGAAUGGAAAGAGAUAUCCAGUAAAACACCAGAGGUAGUAAAACACAAAAUUCUCACUGUAAAACACCAGAGGUUGGAAAACACAAGAUUCUCAUUCUUAUGGAAAGCCUCAGCCCAGUCCAGCUACGCAGUGAAAACUCCAUGGGAGAGUGAUUUACCAAUUUAGAAGGUAAAUCUAACAAAAACAAAAGAAUGGCUUGCAACAGGAAAAUACAUCUCUACCAAAAUGCAGACAAAAUGCACAAACCAGAGCAAAAUCUACAGUGACUUGGGAUAAGCAGCAAAACAGCAUUUAAAGUAGUACAAGAGUGAACUCCCAGAAUCAGAAGUUCUCUAUAACUUAUUGUUGCAAAAACUGUACAUAGAUGACUCUGCCAAGAGCAGCCAUCUAAGAUUAAUAAAAGCUUCAAGAAGCAACCAUCAUCAAAAACAGGUGGAAAGAAAUCAAGGAACAUCAUUUUGUGAAUUUUUUUUUUUUUUUUUUUUUGAUAGACAAAUAGAAAUUAUAUUAAGAGAACACUAAGCAAAAGAGGUGCAUCCAAUGUACACUUGUGGUAUACAAAAGGCUCAAAAAAAGACCCAACUGAACAAGAUAGCCCACAAGCAGACCAAUCUAAUCACAAUUAAGGCUACCUAAAAAAUCCAACAUUGUAACAAUCUCCAUCCCCAUUGCAUCCCAUGACCACUCCAACACGGAUUUCAAAUAGGUCCCCUUCAAUCUUUGACCUAACAACUCUUCCUCAUAGAGUAUCCUUCUAUUACGCUCUUUCCAAAUGCACCAAAUAAGGAACCAUACACCAAAUAAGCAUAAAGGAACCAUGCACCAAAUUUUCUUUUGCCUUUUCUCUAUUGCCUUGGCCUUCCACCCUAAGAGAAGGUUUUUCACUGUGUCCAAAUACAUCUAUUUUAACCCAAAAAUUACUAAAAUAAGAUUCCACAACUUUUUGGUCCUAUCACAAUGAAUAAGGAUGCAAUCAGUUGUUUCUUCACUAUCUUUGGAGUGGCCACAUCUAUCAACCAUCAUCCACCCUCUUGUUAUGAUGAUAUCUAUGGUUAGGAUCUUCCCCCAAUUUUUUUAUAAAAAAAAAUAAAAAAUAAAACAAAAUACAAAACAAAAAACAAAAAAUACAGGUUGUCAAAAGGGCUUGGGACCUCCAAAUUUCUUUGGCAGUAAACAUCACUCUACUCCCGCCACAUAAAAAACCAUAGUAAGACUUAACACCAAAGUUUCCUUUCUCAUCUUCUUUCCAUUAUAGGUUUUCCACCCCUACUCCUUGUACUCUCUCUAACUGAAUGAACUUGAAAAUUUGAACCAUCAAGUUGCCAAACCUAAAAGUGCCUUCCGUACCGUACAGACCAAUGGCCUCCAUUCCUUUUCCCUUCCCACAAUCCUGCAACCAUCGCAUCAUUGUCAGAGGCUAAACAGAAAGGAAUGGGAAAACCACUUUCAAAGGACUCUCACCAACCUAUCUAACCUGAAUAGCUGUCCUGAUUUUAAAAUCAUACCAUCCUCUUAUAAUGGCCUUCCAUAAGCUUACUCCAAAAUACACUCUCACCUCUAGGGCACUCUAUCCCCAUUGAUUUCUCCAUAUUUGGAUAUGACAUAAUAAAGAAAAAAAAAAGUCAAUAAAAAUCAAUUACAAGAAAAAAAUAACAUAUUCUUGAUAAAAGAAUUAUAUAUUAAAAAAAAAAAAAACCCUUUCUCUUUUAUGUCACGUCAACCCGAGUAUGUUAGGUAAAGGUGAAGAGUCCAGAUGUAUACAUCAAAUUUCCAAUUCUUGCACCCAAAGAAGGACAAAUAGGAGCAAAUCAUGUCACCAACAGAUAAUUAGAAUUAAGGAGUAUCCAUGGUAUGUGUUACCAUUUGGGUGACACUUUGGGAAUUCAUAAGAAUAUAUACCCCAAAAAAAAAUGGGUGAGCGAGAGAGAGAGAGAGCGAGAGAGCGCGAGAGCGGAGGUGAUGAAGGGGGUGAAGGUGCGACGAAGCGAAGGAAAAGGGAGAGGAAAAGCUUUGUCGUCGAAUCUAAGACCUUCGAGAUCAACUUAGAAGAGAAACGGGGAAAAAUCCAAGUUGAGAUCUGGGAGAUGAAGAAAGGGAUUUCUUCUUGGGUUAGAUUGGGGCUGGCAAGUCUAGGGUUUCUGUCGGAGGGCCUAGAGUAUUGUAUUAAGGAUGGGAAAGGAGGAAAAUGGGAAAGGGGCUGGAAAGAGAAUGGGAGAUCCUACUCCCUGGUACGUGGCGAGAACAAGGGGGGUCUCUAUCUCAGGUUGGAGGUAGUAGAUCUGGAGAAGAAGAGGCAUAGUAUCAUCGUUCCGAAAGGUAGGGGAGAAAAGGGGGGAUGGGUGACCAUGGCGGAGAAAAUUCAACAAAUGGGAGGUUUCAGUGGGAGAAAGGAGCAAAAGCAGAAAGAGUGGUGUGGAGGGAAACUUGGGAUGGAAGUAUCGUAUGCGGAAGUGGUGAAGAAACAGAAGAAUAGAGAUAGAAAACUAGUUAGGAUGGAGGUGAGAAAGGAGGAAGUCCAAAACAAUUUGCGAAAGCUGGAACACUGCAUUAUUGGGAGUUGGGAUCCUUGCUCAGCAGGAGGAGAGGAUCUGGAAUCGUUGGGGCAAACAAUGUCAAAAGUUUGGGGGCUGAAGGGUAAUCUGGGGCUGGCAAGGAUGGAAAAGAAUAGGGUUCUGCUGGAGUUCGAGAUUUUGGGUGAAGCUAUUCGGGUAAUGUCCACGGGGAAUAGAUCGUUUGACGGGGCUCAUUUGAGACUAGAAAGAUGGAACCCUAGGAUCGGGUGCUCGGAAGAGGUGGAGAUUACAAAUGAAGUUUGGGUCAGGAUCGUAGGGUUACCAUUAUCGCUAUGGAACAAAACCAUCUUGAGAAGAGUGGGGGAGGAGUGUGGCGGAUUUAUAGCAAUGGACCCUAGGACGGAAAAGAUGCAGGAGCUUCAAUGGGCGCGAAUCCUGAUCAGAACAAACGGGGAAGACCUGCCAAGUAGGUUGGAGAUCUCAGUGGAGGAGAAGGUGUACGCUCUUGCCCUCUGGUGGGAGCUGAAACCGUCUCUGAAAAAGGCUCAGGAGAAUAGGAGCGAAGUGACCCAGAGUACCAGAGGAGAGGUUAGGGGUGAUGGUGCCUCACGCGCUGUUACGCGAGUGGGGAAGGAGGUGGAAGGCACACAGCUCGAGGCGCUGCUGCUGCCAGAAAAAAUGAUGGGGAUUCAGGAGGGAGAAGUGGGCCGGGUGAUUGAAAAAUGGGACCAAGGAGGAUCGGGGGCCCGGUCAACCCAGGACGCUGUGGAUUUUGGGCCUCAAUCGGCAGGCCCAGAUUUGGGACCAAAAGGAAUGAAGAGGGUGGGUGGGCCUUACAAUCAAGGGGCAACGAUGGGCUUAAACUUAAAGCUAAAAGGAGUGGUGGGAGUGCUAGCUGGGCAGGAGGCUGGGCCAUCAAAAACAUGGUGGACUACUGAGGAGGAAAGCCCAUCGUGUGAUGGAGGAAUGGACCUGGAGGAAAGCCCAAGUAAGCCACUGCUUCAAGACACCAAUAAAGAUCAGCAACUGAAGGUGUGUUCGCCGGCCUCUCCAUUGGUAAAUAACGAGAGCAACAUGGAGGAAGAAGUUCUAAAAAAUUGGGAGACAGAGGAUUUGAGAAAGAGAAAUACGAAGUUCUUGCACUCGGCGACAGAUUCGACGCUUAUUGAGGAAGCUAUGAGGUACGGGUCUGUCCUUUUGUUGAGGGGGGAAAGGGUGCCUGGGUCUUCUCAUCUUAUUUCUUUUUCUCUUGAUCGGGCUCCGGAGGGGGGGCAUUACGAUCGUUCUGGAAAUGCUGGGGUGGAGCCUCAGUUUGAGGUUCCCUUGUGUGUAGUACCGAGUGAAGGGUCAGAGGAGAAUGUAAUUGGAUGCUGGGCGUUGGUAGAGAAUAAUGGCGGCAGCACUAUGUAUAGGGAUGAGGAGUGGGGUCCAGGAUUGAACGACCCUCAAGCUGAAAGGGGAGAGAAGGAGGAGAGAUGGGAGGAAAGCAGCCUGGCAAAAUUCAGUCACUUCUUGGGAUUUUCGACUGAGGGUUUAGAAAAGGAAAUCCUGGACUUUUUGAUUAAAAUCAGAAAAAGAAGGGAGAGAAUACAUGAUAAGGUGCUGCUAGAAAAGUCCAAGUUUGAAAGGGAAUUGAAGAGGUUGGAGUGCUCAGUGAAUUAUGAGAAGGGAAGGAAGCAGAAAGACCCACCAAAGGGUAAAGGGUGCCAUCUUUCAGUGCUACAAUGAAGCUAAAAUUGCUGAGCUGGAAUGUGAGGGGGGUGAAUGAAAAGGAGAAAAGGAAAAUCAUUAAGACAUUUAUAAGGAAUCAGAGGGUAGAUCUAAUGUGUAUCCAGGAAACAAAAAUCCAAUCAAUGUCGGAGGGGGUGGCAAGAAGUCUAGGGUCGGGAAGAUUUUUGGAUUGGAGGGCCCUGGAUGCAAGCGGGACUGCGGGAGGAAUUCUGAUAUGUUGGGACAAAAGGACAUUGGAGAUUAUGGAUUGGGAGGAGGGCCAAUUCUCUUUAUCCUGCAGAUUCAAAAAUGUGGAUAAUGGGAUGGUUUGGGUGUUCACGGGAGUUUAUGGACCUUUCACUAAAGAGGAAAGGGAGUGGCUGUGGGAAGAAAUUGGGGCGAUCAGAGGCCUCUGGGAAGACCCGUGGUGUGUAGGAGGUGACUUUAACAUCACCUUGUUCCAAAGGGAAAGGAAUAGACAGGGGAGAAUAUCUUCAGCUAUGAGGAGAUUUGCCCAGGUUGCUGAUGAAUUAGGGCUGAGGGAUAUUCCUAUGCAAGGGGGAGUGUUUACUUGGAGUGGGGGACCUAACAAUCAGUCUUGGGCUAGAUUGGAUAGGUUUUUGGUGAAUACCAGCUGGCUGGAUCAGUUUAGUAGCGUUUUACAGAGUAGACUGCCUCGGCCUUUAUCUGAUCACUUCCCGGUCUCACUAGAGGGAGGAGGUCUGAGAAGAGGCCCCUCUCCCUUUAGAUUUGAGAAUAUGUGGCUUAAGGUGGAGGGAUUCCAAGAUAUGAUUCGAAGAUGGUGGUGGGAGAUUGAGGUGAGAGGCAGUGCUAGUUACAUAUUGGCUACUAAGUUGAAGGAAAUUAAACAGAAAUUAAAAAUUUGGAACAAGGAGGUGUUCGGGAAUCUGGGAUGUAAUAAAGCGGCAGCCCUGCAACAAGUGGAAUUUUGGGACUGUGUAGAAAGUGAAAGAAUUCUGUCAAUGGAGGAAACAGAAUUAAAAAAUGAAGCUAAGGUAAAUUAUCAAAAAUGGAUGCUUUUGGAGGAAACACAUUGGAGACAAUUAUCACGGGAGAUCUGGCUAAGGGAAGGGGACAGAAAUACGGGUUAUUUUCACCGUAUAGCAAAUGCAAAUCGUAGGAAUAAUUAUCUGGACAGAAUUAAAAUUGAUGGGGUGAGCCUUACGGAGGAGCAGGAAGUGAGGGAUGGAGUGGCAAAUGCAUAUCAGAAGCUGCUUUCAAAAGAAGCGGGGUGGCAGGCUGAUAUUGGGAGGCUGUGCUUAGACCAGAUCAGUCAACAAGAUGCAGAAAAUUUGGAAUCCCCUUUUUCUGAGGAGGAGGUUCAUUCAGCAUUGUUGGAGAUGAAUGGGGAUAAAGCCCCGGGGCCGGAUGGCUUUACAGUAGCUUUUUGGCAAAGUUGUUGGGGUUUUGUUAAAGAGGAGAUCUUGGCAAUGUUCAAGGAGUUCCAUGAGCAGAAAACGUUUCUCAAGAGCCUAAAUAAUACAUUCUUGGUCCUGAUUCCUAAGAAAGGUGGGGCUGAAAAUAUUGGGGAUUUUAGACCUAUUAGUCUCUUGGGGGGGUUGUAUAAAUUGUUGGCUAAAGUACUGGCUAAUAGGCUGAAAAAAGUGAUUGGGAAAUUGGUCUCCCCUGCUCAAAAUGCCUUUGUGAUGGGUAGACAGAUUCUUGAUGCCUCCCUAAUUGCAAAUGAGGUGAUAGACUCGUGGCAAAAAAGAAAAGAGAAGGGGGUCAUUUGCAAAUUGGACAUUGAGAAAGCCUAUGACAGCUUGAAUUGGCAGUUCUUAAUGAAAGUUCUUCAAAAAAUGGGCUUUGGGCAAAAAUGGUUGGGUUGGAUGUGGAGUUGUAUAUCUACAGCAAGAUUCUCUGUCUUAGUGAAUGGGGUUCCUGCUGGUUUCUUUCCGAGUACUAAGGGGCUCCGCCAAGGAGAUCCUCUAUCUCCUUACCUCUUCGUCAUGGGCAUGGAAGUGUUGGGUAUCCUUCUGAGGAGAGCUGUGGAAGGGGGUUUCCUAUCAGGGUGUAGCAUUCGGGAAGGCGGAGAGAGUGCUUUGAACAUUUCUCAUUUAUUUUUUGCUGAUGAUACAAUUAUUUUCUGUGAGGCCAACAAAGAGCACCUGAGUCACUUAAGUUGGGUUCUCUUCUGGUUUGAAGCUGCUUCGGGGUUAAAGAUUAAUUUGAGCAAAAGUGAAAUCAUCCCGGUGGGUGAGGUGGAUGAUAUUGAGGAGCUGGCAGCGGAGGUAGGGUGUCGUGUGAGAUCUUUGCCAUCCCAGUACUUGGGCCUACCUUUAGGGGCUCCUAAUAGGGCCUCUUCGAUGUGGGACGGGGUGGAAGAAAGAGUGAGGAGAAGACUCGCGUUAUGGAAAAGGCAAUACAUCUCCAAAGGUGGGAGAAUCACUCUGAUUAAAAGCACCAUGGCCAGCAUACCCAUUUACCAAAUGUCUCUAUUCCGGAUGCCCAAUAUAGUUGUUAGAAGGCUAGAAAAAUUACAAAGAGACUUCCUAUGGGGAGGGGGAAAUAUGGAGAGGAAAGCACACUUGGUGAAAUGGGAGAUAGUGUGUGGGGACAAAGGGAGGGGUGGGCUGGGUUUGAGAAGGCUGGGCCUUAUGAACAAAGCUUUGCUUGGUAAAUGGAUAUGGAGAUACGCAUGUGAAAGAGAGAAUCUAUGGAAGCAGGUGAUUUGGGCAAAGUAUGGGCAAGAAGAAUACGGGUGGAGGUCUAAAAAACCUAAUGGGGCGUUUGGAGUAGGGGUGUGGAAGGAGAUUAUGAAGGAAAAUGAAUGGUGCUGGGACAGCCUAGAGCUUAGGGUGGGGAAGGGCAAUAAGAUCAGAUUCUGGACUGAUGUGUGGUGUGCGGGUACAGCGUUGUCUCAAUCUUUCCCGCACCUCUUUGCCUUGGCGGUUGACAGGAAUGCUACGGUGGAGGAGAUGUGGGACCAGAAUUCUGAUCAAGGAGGUUGGAAUCUAAGAUUCUUGAGGAAUUUUAAUGACUGGGAGGUGGGCAUGGUAGGAGAUCUGCUCCUUAAGUUGAGAGGGCUUAGGCCGGCUUUGGAGGAAGAUUCAAUCUCUUGGAAGGGAGGAAAAAGCGGUAGAUAUAAAGUCAAGAUGGCGUACAGUGGUUUAGUCAAUCCCAGUGACAUUGUUUUCCCGGAAAAAAGCAUUUGGGUGAAUAGUGUUCCUACCAAAGUCGCUUUCUUUGCGUGGGAGGCAUCGUGGGAGAAGGUGUUCCUUAUUCACUGUACAGUGGUUAGAGCCCUUUGGGAAUUAGUCCUUGGGCUUGUAGGUGUAAAGUGGGUCUUUCCAGAAACUGUAAAGGAGGUCCUAUUGAGCUGGAGAGGUUCUUUUGUGGGGAAAAAAAGGAAAAAAAUUUGGAAAUCCAUCCCGUUAUGUAUUUUUUGGACGGUUUGGAAAGAAAGGAAUAGAUUAGCCUUUAAGGGGGGUGAGCUACAUAUUCAGAAGUUAAAGAAUUUUUUUGUUUGUAACUUGUGGGGCUGGUCUAGAUUGGAUAUUGGAGAGGAUUCUAUAUCCCUUCUAGGUUUUUUAGAGUGGCUAGCAUCCACCUAGGGGGGGUGAGGUCUUCUUGGUCUCUUUUGUUUUUUUGUUGAGAGGUUAUAGUCGCCUUGUAUAUCUCCUGUAUACUGUGUGGCUAUUGGCCUUUUUUGCUUAAUAUAUUUCGAUUUACGUAUCAAAAAAAAAACAGAUAAUUAGAAUUAAAGAAUGAAACUGGAGUUCAUAUCUACUAUACUUAACAUGCCCAAAUAAGAAUACCUCUUCUUCUUCAUACUGCUAUCACAAAUUUAGCAAACACUAAUAUAAACAACCUUAGAAAUGUCAGAAAAUUAGUUACUAUCAAAUUAUUAAAGACAUCAAUAAAACCUAAUUAAAACUUAUCUGUCCACGAAUCAAUUCCAUUUGUAAAAUCUAAACUAACAGAAGUAUAACACCAUCACAGAUAUUUAAAAAAAUUGCAUGCACAUUCUUGAUAUUUUAUUCCAAAUAACCUUCAAUUUACAGAUGAUUCCUUUUUCUCAAAAAUUAUUUUCAAUUCUACACUGCAUUCUAAUUUUGUGUUUGUAUUAUAGAAUGCAGUCAUAUUUCUUCUUUCUAAGAUUUAACCUCCGACCCUGAUUGAGAUGAUAUGUUUGAGGAAGUGCAACAUUUGUGUAUGGUUAUAAAUACGAGAGUAAAAGACCAAAAUUAAAAAAAAAAAAUACAUAAAUAAAAAAUCAUAGAAAAAGAAAGGUACCUCCUCCCUGUCUAACAGGAACUCCUCUUCAUCAAACCCAGCUACAGGCAAAUCUUCAUCUUCUAAUCCACCCAACUCAACUUCCUCAACGACGUCUUUACCAAAAAAUGCAUACUGUGAAGCAUCAAAUACUGCAUAUGCCGAGAAAGGAAAACAACCAAAAAACAAAAGAUUCAUCAAUACUCCACUUAUUUACAGCAUGGAGGAUAAGACAAAUUCUAACAGAACACUAUUCCAUACAUAUGGAAAAUAUGAAAUAAAAGGGGAUAAAAUCCUUGACCAUGGAAUCAACAUAUAUUGAAAAUGCAGCGAGCCCAUAAUAUGUAUGAUAAGAACACAAGCUAUGAUGGUAACAGCCAGUAGCAGCACAAGAACCAGAUGCCCAAAAAAAAGUGCACAACAACUCUGCAACACAUAAUGAAACUGUAGUUCUCUGGUGUUCAGGCAAGCAUUCCUAUUAAUACUAAAACAAGAGCAUUACCAGAUGGUCAACCACUGAAAUCAAAGUCAAUACACUCGAAACCCAUGCUGAGCCGUUAGAUUCAAAGUACACUUGCAGAAUCAGCACCAAAGAGAACACAAACUCACCCUGGAACUGUAGAAGCUUCAUGCUCUAUUAGCCAUCCCGAAAAAGAAUGGAAUCAGAAUUUUGAACCAUAUAUUUUUCUUUUGUUGGAACCCAAAGGCAAAAACCUCCAACCAACCACGUCUAAUAUGAGUAUUACACUUCAAGUUUGUCAAUUAAGAUACAACCACUGAAAACUUUAAGCUGAAUUUCCAUAAAUAAAAAAAUGUUUUGCGAAUGCUAUUUAGGUUUAAAAUUAUAAACUCCUGAUUGUUUUGUUUAAUCUGCAUUCAAUCUUCAGUUGGAAUUAAAUACGGCUGUCCACACAAAAUAAUUGAAAUUUAUUUCCCUUUCUUUCCCAGUUUUCUGGGCAACCAAACAGAGGCUGAACUCCGCAGUCAUAAUUAAUGCACUAAUUACCCAAAUAAACCAAUCGAAAAAACAACAAUAACACCAUAAUAAUACAAAAGCGGAUAUCAGACAGCAGCACGGUCCUCUGUUGGGUUGCCAAAAAAACUUUUAAGAAAAAGAAAAAUCAAAAGCCGACUCAGAAAGCAGAUCUACAAAAUCCCAAAAAGAAGAACGAAAACAAAAAAAAAAAAUCUGAAUUACAAAAUCUAUCGAAAAAGAAAAAUUAAAACGGAGAGAAGAAGAGAAGCAAAACCUGUGGAAGUAUCUCCAAAUUGGUUGAGAUCCGGAUGAUUGGAAGCCUCAUGAAUACCAGCCCCACCACCCUCAAACACACCGUCUUCCAUAUCUAUUCUACACCUUUCAACAAAACAAAACCCUAAAACCAAAAAAAAAAACCUAGCUACAAGGCCCCUUACAGUACAAAUUUGAAGGGCUUGCAAUAAGAUAGCGGAAAGAUCUGUACACUGAAUUGGGUAUGGCAAGUCAUUGAUGAGGAGAUAUUUGGAAUUCAAACCCUAGGUCAUACUCCCAUAUCAUGUGAAUGAAGAAGAUGGAAGGAGAGAAGAUAAUAAACAAUCAAAGCCUACCAAAGUAAGGAAACUAUAUUUUCAUAUUAAAUAUAAAUAUAUAUAUAUAUAUAUAUAUAUAUAUAUAUAUAUAUAUAUAGUUACUUUUAAUUUAUUUUUUUUAUAAUUGAAAGUAGAAAAUAAAAUUUGUUUCAAAAUAGACCGUUAAAAUAUUUAUCAAAAUUAUGAUUUUAAAAUUUUAAAUUAUAUAUUAAUAUGUCAUUUAGAUUUAUUUCUUAAAUUUUUAUUAUUUUUAAAAUAAAUAAUAAUAAUAAUUUUUAUAUAAAAUACAAAUUACGUUUUUAAAAAUAAUUAUAAAAAAUAAUUUUUGAAAACAGUUUUUAAAAAUUAUUUUUUAUUUAUGUUUUAUAGAAUUUUUGUCUAUUUGAAAACCUAAAAUAUUUUUAAUUUAUUUUUAAUAUUUUUAUGUCUAAAAUUUUAUUUUUAAUCAUUACAAAUAUUUAUAUUAUUAUUUUUUAAAAUUAUUCUUAGAAAAUAAUUAAAAUAUAUUUUUUUUUAAAUAUCAUUUUUUGCUAUUAAGAUAAUAAAAUAAAAAUUAGUUUUUUUUGUUAACAAACAUAUUUUUCUAAUUUUUUAUUUUAAAAAAUAAAAAAAUAUAUUCUUAAAAAUAGUUGUCAAAGACUUUUAACUAUUAAAAUCUAUUUAAAAAAUUAAGACAUUAAAAAAAAUUAUCCCCUUAAUCUUCAAUCUUCUAUUAUACUUCUUGUUAAAAUAAUAUAAAAACAUGAUACAUACUCAAAAUUUAAAAUUUAAAAGUAACUUUUAAGUACAUAAAGACACAUUCAUAUUUUCAUAUAAAAUUUAUUAUUUUUCAACUUUUAGAAACAAUAUAAAAUAUAUCAUAAGUAUAAAUUGUCUUUAAUGGGAUAUUUAAUUAAAAUAAAAAUAAUAAUAUUUAAGUCAAAAAUAUGAUUUUUUUUAUUUUUUAAAAUAUUAAAAACAUGAAAUAUGAUUUUUUUUUUUUUUUUAAAUAUUCUCCAUUUAAAAAAAUUGUACUUUUUUAAAUUUUUUGGAAGAAGUUUAUAGGAUAAGAUAUUCCUUUCUGAAAAUGAUUUAUGAUGUAAAUAUGAUAAUUUCAAAUAUGUCAGUUUUAAUUUAUUUAUAAAAUAAAAUUUUCGACGUGUACAAAACAUUAUUUUAUUGGGUGGACGGUGGCUUGCUUUUAGUGCAAAGAGGUGCAAGGGAAUAUUGAAAAGGAUAGGCAUCUCAUCUGUUAUUAUCACCUUAUUUUUUUAUUUUUUUAUUAUUGUUUGCCAUUAUAAUAUUGGUAUUAUAUUAAUAUGUAGUGAGAGAAAGACGUGACAAAAAAAAUAAGGGACCAUCACUAGAUUGAAAAGUUUGUGAUCAGGAUGACUCGGACGUCUUCUUAUAUAAAAUAUGUUUGUUGUAUUCAUGAGAGUGGAGUUUGUAACAGAGAAAAUGAGAAGUAUACUUUUGGGUAUAGAUAUUUGAAGUUGCUCAGUCGAUUGUAAUUUCACACAGGUUUGAAAAAUGGUCAUCUUACGAACCUUCUCUAGGCGUCAACACCUUAUUUGUGGAAAAAUAGGACAACCAAAAUCUAUUACGUGACCUAAUAAGAAACUUCUAUUAAUAAAAAUAUCCAUAUUUCAUGAUAUAUAAUGAGAUUUUGAAAAUAGGUGAUUGGUUGGAUUAAUUCAAUAAAUAAAUAAAAUGGAGUUGACCAUCCAUUAAUUAAAUUGUUUUUUUAUUCAUUGUAAAUGAUUAAAAUAAAAAAUAAAAAAUAAAAAAAAUUUAUUUAAUUUUAUUAGAUGUUUGACUUGUCAUUUGAUAUUAAUUCUUCGUAUAUCAUUUGAUGACGACGAUGGUGGUGAUAAAAAUAAAAAAAAUAAUGAUUUUAAAAUUUAUUUUUAAAUCAUUAAAAUAUAUAAAAAAAUUAUUAUUAUUUUAAAAGUAAUUUUAAAGGUACAUGAUUUUUUUUUUACAAAAUAUUUUAUUUUGUAUAAAAAAAUUUGUUUUAGAAAUAAAUGCAAAUACUUUUAUUUUGUUAAAAUAUAAAAAUAAAAAAAUAAUGAUUUUAAAAUCUAUUUUUAAACCAUUAAAAUAUAAAAAAAUUAUUAUUUUAAAAGUAAUUUUAAAGGUAUAUGAUUUUUUUUUUUUACAAAAUAUUUUAUUUUGUAUACAAAAAUUUGUUUUAAAAAUAAAUGCAAAUACUUUUAUUUUGUUAAUAUUUUAUUUUUUAUGAAAAAGGAAAAGGUCAAAAAGAAAAAGUGGAAAGGAAGUUGGACUCCAUCUACGUGGAUCAUUGAUGUUGUCUCCUUUCACCAAAGUCACUUUUUUUUCCUUCCUUUCCUCCUCUCCAAAUCCAAUAUGCUGUUUUUUUUCAUACUACUAUAUUGAUAUAUACUCAACUAUUGUGAACACUAUUUUACAAUAUUAAAAAAAAAAUGAUGUCCCAUUUCAUAAAUCACUUUCAACAUAUAAGAUAUGUUAUUGUCACUAAAGUUGAAAGGGUUGUUGGACCACCAUUUAGAAUAAAGAAAAAGAGGUAUUUAUUCUCCAAAUUUGAUGCCUCUAUCAUUGUUGCAUCUAUGUUUAAUCUCUAAUAGCUAUUAAAAUUAUACAUGAUUUAUUUCCUAUUAAAUUUUAAUGUAAAAGUAGGGCAUCUUUAAUAUCUUAAAAGAUUUUCAAAGAAUUAAAUGUAUAUUUAUUUUUAAAUUAAUUAUAAAAUUCACCUCAUCUCGAUUUAGUUUUUAUUUUUUUUAAGUAAUUUCAAUCUUAAACUAUACCCAAAUAUUAAAUAAUUUCUCUUUGUCAUGAUUUUUUUUUUUUUUUUUUUGUUAGAAAUAACCAAAAAGGUAUCUAUGAUAAAUACUAUACAUUACACAUGAUAUGGCAGAAAUGGAGUCUUAUGAUUUUUCAAAUUUACCAAAAAGACUCAAAAGAGCACUUAGGCACUCUUCAAAACUUUUAAUUACCCUAUUAUAUUUUACCUUGCCAAUACACUCACCAAAAUGUCUCAUUCUAUAGUGACUUAGUGACUAGUUUGUCACUCAAUGUCAAUGAACUUUUCAAGUCAAAAAAUUCUAUGAAAGUACAUAAUCAUGGAUUAAAAUAUUGGAAAAGAAUUGUUAACAUGUGUCUAUCUAAUCUAGCUUAUCAACAAAUUGUUGAUGGUUAUGUUCCCCAAAAUGUAGGAUUGGGGUAAAUGCAAUUUUUUAGAAUUCUAGGAUUGUAAGAAGGUUCAAAAUAGAUGUUUUAAAGAAGAAAUGCUAACAUGGAAACCAAAAAAAAAAUGCUAUGUUAGAAUGGGAAUUAACGAAGUUACAAAACCUCUACAUGUCUUUCUUCUUAUUAUGAAGACUCAUUGUAUCAUUUCAUUUUAUUUUUUUAAGUAACUCAAGUGAUAGGUAAGAAAUUUCCUCUUAUAAAGUCAAACAAGAAUUUAUAAACUAUAAUGUUAAGAGUCAUUCCAAUGAGGAACAAUCCCUCCAAAAAUAGUUGUAUGCCACCAUAAGAGGUGAGCACAUAGUAUUCUUUAGUAAAAAGAGAAAGAAUAGUUCGCUCUAUGCUCACCACACAACUCCUUGCAUUCGGUUGUCAAUAGAUUUCAUGUAUUGAGAUAUUGUAGGUACUACUAUUUUCCUCUUUUUUUCAAUGUGGGACAUCUUCUUACAUGUGACCCUUUUAGCUAUGAGUUCACAUUCUUCAUUGCUAACCCGAUUUCACACUCUUGCUAAAGUGAAGCAAGCGGAUUAGUUUUUUUUUUUUUUUUUUUUAUGUAAUACUAUUGAUUUAGUGCAAGUUUCAUUAUCACAUAAUGUUUCAUGCCAAUAACUUGUCUAUGAGAUUUUUUUCACUCCCAAAGAAGAUUCAUCUUGCUUGAAGUGUAGUUUAUGUAUAUGGGAAGUGGCCUAUAGGCUGAUAUUGAUACUAAUAUUUGGGAUGAAAUGUCCAAGAAGGAUAUGAAUCAUCGAGUAUUGGGAUAAUUGGAGGAAGACAGAGGCCUAGUUUGACUCCAAUUGUCUUCAUUUCUCUUGUUUAUGUAGAUAUGAUAUUUUAGAUUUACAAAUCAUAUUCAUGGUUAUGUUGGAAGAAAAGGUACCUAAAAUAUAGGACUCUAAGGAAAGGUCAAUUCAUUAUCAGUUGGACACCCCGUCAAAGUGUGGUAUCUUGGAAUUCCAUAAUUGAUGGCUAAAUUCCAAAUAAGUCUUUUGAGGUAGAAAUCAAAAGUUGGUGGAAAAUGGGACGGAAGCCAUGAGUGUCAUUGUGGAAGCUGUUAGGAUAGAGCCCUUAAAAGCAUGACAUGAUGUUAUAAAUUUGGAAUUCAUUAUUUAUUUAAUGAUGUUUCAGUUUCACUUUUAUCUAUCCUUAUUACAUGUAUUAUACUUAUGAGCAUUAUUGCCUACAUCUUUUACAUUGUACGUGACCUAGGUGCAUUAGGAGUUGUAUAGAAGAUCUAAGUUAUGAGUUCCUUGUAAAUAAAUGACUUAUGAGCAUUAUUGCCUACAUCUUUUACAUUUUUGAGGAGAUGUUGGAUGAGAUUGGUUGACACUGCUAAGAUAGCCAUCAUGGGACCAUGUCUAACCUUCUUUAUUAAGCUAGUUGUCUCAUUGUGACUUGAUAUUUUGUUUAAAAAGAUUAAUAUUGAGUUAGGAGAUUAGUGUUUUUGGUGUCUCACUUUUUAAACUAGAUCAAGAGUAGGUGAGUACUAAGUACUAUUUGCUAUAUCAACACUAAGUACAUGACACCAAUUGAAAACUCAAUGUAAAAGAUGCCUAUGAUGAAAAAAAUGCUUAAUUCCAUCUGAGAACUUGGCUAUUGUCUUUGAACUAAAUACAUGUUUGUGUGCUUCCAUAAACAUCUAAAAGAACAUUUGGGUUUAUAGUGGUUGUCAUAACAAGACUAAAUUAUGUUUUACUCACAAUGGAAUGGAAUAGGAAAUCAGUGUGGGAUAUUUUACUAUUCCAUCAUUUUAAAGAUUGGACUUGUUCUUAUGGAACCUAUUGGAAAAUUGUUACCUACACAUGUUUUUUGGUUUCUAUGCUAUCGUCCAUGUAAGAAUUCCAUGGAAUAUGUUAUUGGAUGUAGAUACAUUAAGUUUUUGAAGUAAGGUUUUUGAUUAUAUUGAAAUGUUAGAAUGUCAAGUUGUUAUUGCAAAUAAUGUUCAAACUAGCUGAAGUCAAGAGUUUGAAUAACAAAGGGUGUACAAUAUUCUAAAGUCUUUCCGGCUACCGUUUUACUAAACAAAGGAUUUUUUGAAAGUUAGAUUUAGUUGUUCUUUUUCUUCCUUAUCAUUGUAUAUAGCCUUUGUCUAGUAAAUAUGGGAUUCAUAGUAUGUCCUAGCAGACAAUAGCUACUUGCUUGGUUUUGAUAUGGAAUAUGAGGCCUAAGAAAUAAGAGACUUUGAUGGAUUACAGGUUUGGUAAAGUUAAUCCAUAAAUAAUGGGUCCAAGUCCCUUCUCUUACGCAUUGGAAUCCUAUCAAAGCUUUGCUUCAAAUAGAAAACUAUAGAUUCUCAUGUUCUGCAAAUUUAAUGUUUGAAGAUAUAUGAUAAAGGUCUCUUUUUCCUUUAAUGAUCCAAUUGACAUAGGUAUGUUUGAAAUCCAUUUUGCAAGUAGUAUGUUUGAGGUUCUUCUUUGUUUCUGCAUGUAUAAAUUUGUUGCAAGGUCGUUUGCAUAUGUAUUGGUUUAGUAGAAAUUGUCCUUAGUUGUCUCAAUUUUUUCACCAUGCUAUAAUCCCUAUUGGUUCAAAGAGAGAUGUUUUCUAGUGUUGUGUGGGGAGUUACCAAUAAACAUGACAACUAUUAUUGAACUUAAAAAGACUAUAAUCUCAAAUCCUAAUUAACCAUGGAAAUGGACUUAAAAAGGCUGAGAACAAUCCGUUAAAAAUCAAAUUGAAAAGUGGUCUAAUUUGAUUUCGGUGUGAUUUUUCAUAUGAUACCUCUAAAGUCAUGCUACGGAUCUAAAAGUUUGUUCAACACAACUCAUUAUUCCUUAUUAGUAGGAUGUUAUCAACAUAGACCAAAAGGUAAAUGAUCUUGCCAUCUGAAUUGAAAAUGAAGAGAGAUAUGUCAAACCUUGAGUUUUGAAAACCAAAUUAUAUUAAAGUAGUUCUUAAUUUAUCAAACCAUGCUUCAGGGGUCUUUUUCAAUCCAUAUGAGUUUGCAUAUGUGGUAUGGUUUUAAGGAAUCAACAUCCUUAAAGUUAGACCAUGUAAACCACCUCUUGAAAAGCGUCAUUUAGGAAAAUAUCGUUUACAUCCAAUUAUUUGAUGUCCCAAUUUCUUGAAAUAAACACCAUUAACACUAUUCGAAUGAUUGCAACUUUGACUUUUUGGCUAAAGAUCUCUUUGAAAUCAAUUGAUCCAAGUGUUUAGUAGAAUAUUUUAGCUGCUAACCUAGCUUUAAGUCUUCCUACACUUCCAUUAGGAUCGAGUUUUAGCUUGAACACUUAUAUGUUUCCAACCAUAUUGCAUUGUGGUAAAGUACAAGGCCCCAAGUAUGAUUUUGGAUCAAGACACCAAAUUCUUCAUCCAUUGUCUUCUUCUACCUUGGAAAAGCUAAAACAUUUUGUACGCAAAUUGAUUUACUAUCAAUUUAAAGGAUAUUAGGUGGUUAUUUUGAAGAGUUUAAAUGGUUGGUUGCAUAAACUUUUAGUUUGAAAAUGUUAUUAUUUUAUCAUGUUUACAUAAGAUGUCUAAACUAGUUUUGUAGAAUUGGUGAUAUUUGAGAUUCAAGUAAUUAAAUUUGUUUAAGGGUGAUUGGAAUAGACUAGAUGAGUGGCUAAUUUGGUGUUAAGGAUUGUGGAGAGGCUGCAAUUUCUAUACUUUGAGAGAAUAAGGUUAUACGAACUGGAGUUAAAGGUUGGUUUUCGUUUGCAGGAGCUGAAACUAAAGGCUAGCUCUUAUUUGUACUCUCUUCAUUACAUACCUGAGACUACAUUAAUUUUUCUUUAGAUUCUAAGAUGGACCAUUCUCUAAAAUAUCUAAAAAUUGAUAGGUAAUGUAUGAUUGUGUUAAGGGGCUUAACUUUUCAAUUCUACGAAAACCAAAAAAAAAAGAAUUCAUUUUCAUUGAACAUAACAUGCUGAAAAAUAAAAAUUCUACCACUAGGAUAAAGACAUAGGUACCCUUUGUGAGAAUUGUUGUAGCUUAGGAAGACACACUUGGUUGUGUGGAAUUGGAAUUUGGUGGAUUGAAAUGGCCUGAGGUAAGGGAAGCAAGAACACCUGAAAGUUUUAAGAAAAAAGUAACCUAGUUUUCUUUUAUAAAGUUUUUCUAAUGGGAACAAAAAAAAAAUUAAGAUUGGUAUAGGCAAGCAAUAUAUAAGGUAGAUAAAGGUCUAGAAAACCUCUCACCAAAAUCUCAAAGGCAUAAAGGCUUGAGUAAAAAGGGUCAAACUCAGUUUUACAAUGUGUUUGUUUGAAUAGGGAAAUGUUGAAUUCACUAGUUAUGCCUAACAUGUGGAAUGAGUGCAUAAGGAUGUCAUGCUCAACCUAUGUUUCCAAUAAAAAUUAUUUGUUCUUGCAUAUCUUUGCUCUUGACUAUGUGGCCAAGGAUGUUGAAAUACUACUCCAUUGUUCUUAAAAUAGUUCUCAAAAGAUCUAUACUCAUUACUCUAAUAUGAUUCAAGUUUCUUUAUUUUUAGUGUCCAAAGUUUUCUUAAUUUGAUUGUUCUUAAAAUAGUUCUCAAAAGGCUUAUUCUCAUUACUCUAAUAUGAUUGAAGUUUCUUUAUUUUUAGUGUCCAAAGUUUUCUUAAUUUGGUUUUUGAAAAAGAUAAAGGAGCUUAGAACUUCAUCUUUAGUUUGAAAAUGAUAUAUCUAAGUGUAUUGAGAGAAAUCAUCUAUGAAGUGAAUAUAAUAUUUGUAUUCGAAAUUUGAAACAAUUAGAGCAAGGCCUCAUUUAUCUCUAUGGAUUAGCUUAAGUAGUGAAGAAGUUUGAGAAAAAAAAGAGUUGAAAAUGAUUUUUUUCAAAUUGGCAAGCAUUAUAAAAGUUAAGUUUUCCAUUGAUUGAAUUAUCUAGAUUACAAGAUUUCUAGACAUGACUCGACUCUACUAGAUGGAUGACCUAACUUUCUAUGUAAGACAUUGGAGCUAAUUGAAUCAAAGAAGAUAAGACAUUAGACAUCAACUUUUCUUUUUUACUCUACUAAACUUAACCUAAUAAAAGUGAUGAUUGAUGGAUUCAAAUAGGAAUGAACAACUGACUUUGUAUGAUUUUUAGCCUCUAGAAUAUGCAGUUUAUAGAGGCAACCUUCAAGUUUCCUUUCCAAGAACACUUGGGUUUUUCUUGUCCUUCACCAAACAAACAUUAAAAUAAAAUUCAACAAAUAUUCUAUUAUUAGUCAUUAAAAAGGAAAUACUUAACAAGCUCUUUUUAAUCUAAGGAACCAAUGGUAUAUUUCUCAAAUAAAAAUGAGAGGAUAGAAAAGGUAUUUCAAUAUGACCAACAUGAGUAAUAGGAAGUUUAUUACCAUUGUCAAUUACAAGUUUGUUUUCACCAUGAUAGUAAGAUUUUAGAGAGAAGUUACUCAAUUUAGUACUAACAUGGUUAGUAGCUCCACUAUUAGUGUACCAUGAUUGGUGAGAGACUAAAUCAGCUAUGGCAACGAAUACAAAAGCCUAAUUGUUUUUUAUGAGCUUAAAAAGCAUAAUCAAAGCAGUAAUAGCAAUGACGCGUAGGUAAAACACUAUUUCCAAUGCCUUCCACAUCUCAUGAGUUGUUGAGAAGUCUACUACCUUAAGUAAAACACACUUUGAUAUUGAGGAUAAUAACCAAUACAAUAAUUUUUGAUAGGUUAGGUUGAUGUUGAAUAUGGUUUCACCAGGCUUUGUCGUUGCAGGGAUGAGCUUCUUUGGGAUGGGUAGCUUCCCAAAUAAAUAAAUAAUUGUUUAAGUCAUGCCCUUUCACAACUAGAAUGACAAUAAAUUCCACAUCAAAAAUUUGUUCCAAUCUAGUUUUAUCAAAGAGUUAAAGCUUAUGAUAUUGCCAAACAGAGACUUGUUACCAACAAUAAAAGAUUGAGAUAAGGUAGUAGUGUUAAUGGAUUUGAGUCCAUCGUUGUCGUUGAUAUAGAGAGAGAGACAAGAAUCUGAGUCAACCAUAAUUUAUAUUGAUGGUGCAUGUUUGCUUUGAUAUUAAGAAAUAAAAAAAUAGAGCAAAGAGAAUUCUGGGUCUGAAUAUGGUUGAGCAUAAAAAUAGUAUACCAUUGCACAUUCUAUUUAUAUGACUAAGAGGAUAUAUAAGGGUUUCUACACCACAAAAACCACGUACAAAAGGUUUUGUAUAGGUAUAGAACCUUCAUUUUGUUUCCUUAACACAUGCGCUAUUAAGUGCUCUUUUAGUACUCCAUAGUAGUUCCUUGGUAACCCAUUGCUACUCAUACAACCUACAUUUUUUAGCUACCUUGGAAACUCUAGUCUAGAGAUUGAUGUAGUCACUCAUUGUGACCAUUGGCAACCUCAGGUUAUAUCUAGUGUUUUUUUUUUCCUUUUUAUUUUAGGUUAGCCUUUUUAGGGAAACAUGCUUAGGCAUUUUCUAGGACACCAUUCCCACUUAGGCCUAUCUAGGCCCACCUAGGCCCAUUUAGACACCUCCUUAGGUUGGAUUCCACUUAGUUCACUAAGAACUUUUUCCUUUUAGGUCACUUAGGCACAUUUUAGGUAAGUCCACCCAACUCACUCAGGUUCACUUAUAUAGAUUCUUUAGGCUUUGCACUUAGGUUUGUUUCUUAAGUUGUGAUUGCAUGAUUGUGAGUUUAAGUGAGUAUUUGACUUGAAUUUUUCGGUUUAUUUUUUUUUGGUUUUUUUGUUGCGUGAAUUGAAUUUUCAAUAUCUAGUCAUGUGAUUUUGAUGUUUCAUUUUUUUUUUUAUAAUUAAUUACACUAGACUAACAUUUGAAUUUUGAUUGCAAUGUUUAGUGUCUAUAUUAUUAUUAUUAUUAUUUUUAUCUAAUUUUUUAUAUUUACUAUCUAUUUAUUUAUGUGUUAGAAAAUUGCAUGAGGUUAAUUUUUUUUUUUUCCAAAUAUUUCAUGAAUUGAUAUUCAAAUUUCCUUAUAAAUGAGCUUGGGUUAUUUUGUUUUAAUUGAGUUGUGGGUAUUUAGAUUUUAAAUUGUAGGCUUAGGUUAUUUUAUUUUAAUUGGGUUUGGGUUGUCAUUCCUCAUUUUGGGCUUUGUUUGUUUUGCAUGGGCCCAUGAGGUUUCUUGGAAAUGAAUUCUUGAAUAUUGUAUUUAAAGGGCACACAAGCCCUAGGCAAAAAAAAAAAAAAAGUCCAAAUAGAAAAGAUGGUCAUCCAUGUGUUUUUUUUUCUUGUUGUAUUCGUAUCUUAGAGUUUUACCUUUGAAGGCUUGGUGGAGAGCCAUGAUUGAUUUUGAACUACAUUCAAGUGAGUUAUUUCUUUCUCAUCUCUUUCUUUGUAUUUUGUUUCUAUUCUUUUUAGGAUUUCUUAGAUUUAUAUUGUUUCAUAUAUAUUAUAUUUGUGAGCAUUUUGAUAGUUAAGUAUUUUAUAUAUCUCUUUUAUUCAAUUCUCUACCUAUUUUGAUUAUCUAUUCAUUGUACUCUAUAUCUUGUAUGUAUGCACAUUCGUCUAAUUUUUUUCUAUUCAUCCAUAUAUUUGUCAUUUUUAUUUAUUAUUUUGUUGAUAUAUGUUACUGUGUAUUGUAUUUUGUUUCAAGUUUUCUAUAUUUGUGUAAUUUAUGUCCUAAAUUUUCCAUAAGUCCGUGGAUGCUAGUUAUGUUAGUCUUGUUACCUUAUAUUUCAUUUUGUCUUAAAUUAUCUAUAAUUAUGUUUAUGUUAGUCUCGUUACCUCAUCUAUCUUAAUUUCUCUAUAAUUUUGUCUAUGUUAGUCUUGUUGCCUCAUAUUUCAUUAUGUCUUAAAUUCUUUGUAAUUCUAUUUAUGUUAGUCUUUUUGACUCAUAUUUCAUUCGUUGUUAUGUUUAGAUUUUAAUUUAUUUUUCUUGCUUGAGUUAUUAUUUAUUGUAUUAAAUAAAUUUUCUAGAAAAAUCAGUUUAAAUAAAAUUUCCCAAAAAAUAAUUUUUAAGAAAUUUUAAAACAAUUUUCUUUAAUAAAUAAUCUAGAAUUUAGCUUUCCAUAAAGUGUAGAAAUUUAUUUUUUCCAAUAACUUGAAAUUUUGGCUCUUUUUAAUAAAUCGGGAAAAUUGUCUUUAAUAAAAAUAGUACAAAAAAUAUUUUUUUAAUAAAAUGCAGAAAAUCUGUUUUGAUAAAAUAAGUUGGAAAAACUAUUUUUACUAAAUUCAAGAAUUUGGUUUAAUAUAAAACAAUUCAAAAAAUCAUUUUUAAUAAAUUCAUAAAAUUCCUUUUUAAAUAAAAUAAUUCAAGAAAUUCGUUUUUUAUAGUAUUCAAAAAUGAUUUUUAAUUUAAUAAUCCAAAAAUUCAUUUUUUAAUAUAUCUAUAAUUUUUUUUAAUAAAAAAUCCUCAAAGUUUGUUUAAUGAAAAUUAUGAAAAUUGUGUUUUAAUAAAUAUCCUUUAGAAAUUUGUUUUUUUUUAAAUAAGCUUGUUAAUUGAAAUUUGUGUUUUAAUAAAUGUUUUUAGAAAUUUGUUUUUUUUAAUAAGUUUGAAAAUUCUAUGUCAUUGACAUAAAACAUAAUAACAAUAAAAUAAUUUGCGGGAGCCUUUGUGUAAAAAGAAAAAUUGACUUUUGACUAAAGGUAUCUUACAACAAGUAAAACACUUAAUGAUUUAACGAACCACUAGUGAGAUGCUUGCUUAAGACUAUAGAAAGACUUAUGGAGUUUACAAAGUCAAGUCUCUAAUUUUCGAAGAAAACUAGGUGGAAUUUACAUAUAAAUAUUUUCAUCCAAGUCAUUAUGAAGAAAUGCAUUAUUGACAUCAAGAUGAUGAAUAUGCUAAUUUUUUAUAGAUAUAACAACUAUAAGAGCUUUAACAACGAUUAACUUCACGACAAGGAGUAAAAGUAUCAUGGAAAUCAAGCCCUUCUUGUUGACUACAACCUUUAGCAACAAGGCAAGCUUUGUAGUAUUCAACUAUACCAUCAAACUUGUAUUUUUCAUAAACCCACUUGCAAUCAAUUGUACUUAUUUCAAGAAGGAUUUGAACUAGACUUUAAACUGUAUUUGACUUCAGAGCAUAAAUUCUAGAAGCCAUGGCAUCACAUCAUUUUGAAUCUUAAACAGUUAUGUUUAAAAGAUUUAGGUUAUAAUAAGGAAGAAAUGACUAUACUAAAAACACAAUGAGUAUAAUAAAAUAAAGCAUAUGGUAAGUAACAAAAUGAAGGGUAUGAUGUGUUUACUGGGGGGCAUCUCUCGAGCAAGAUAAUUAGUUGCAAAUAGUAGCCAUACCCAAAUGGAAAUCCUUCAAAAAAAGUGGGUUAAAGAAGAGAGCAAUAAGAAUUAGAGAUGAAGUACAUGUGAUGGUGGAGUGCUAGAUGAUGGUGAGGAACUAGAUGGUAAGAGAAGGAAGUCAACAAAAUUUGUUGGUGGUAAAGAAAGUAUUGGACUAGAAGGAGGGUUGAAAUUCAUCUAAGAAAAAUAUAAUAUGUUCUCAUGAAAAAUAACAUCACGUAAAACAAAUGUAGCAUCAUUUUCAAGAUCACAAAGCUUGUAACCUUUUUGGCCAUAAGGAUACCUAAUAAAUAUAUAUCAUUUGGCUCAUGGAUCAAAUUUAUUUUGCUUUAAAGCAUGGGUGGAAGCAUAACAAAGACAACAAAAAACUCUCAAAUGGAUAUAGGAAGGUUUGAAGGAAAAAAAACAUUUCAUAAGAAGUUGGCAAAAAAAUCAGUUAUGACAUUCUAUUAAUCAAAUAUGUAGCAGUAAAAAUAUAAUAACCCUGAAAUUUAAGUAAAAGAUGUACUUGAAAAUGUAGAGCAUGAGCAGCAUUAAAAGGGUGAUGAUGUUUGCAUUCAACAACUCCAUAUUGUUGAGGAGCGUUUACACAACUAUGUUGAUGGAUAAUUUAAUUCUCACCAAAGGAAGUGGUCAUGCCAAAUUCAUCCUUGUUAUUUGAUUGAAUUUCUUUUUUACUCAUCGAUCAAACUAGUUGUUGAUAAGCAUGAUGAAACAUUAUACAGGAGAAAGAAUUAUAAAUUUGUGGAACAUAAGAUUGGCCUAUGUAGCACAAUUAUAAUCAUCCAACAAUGCUAAAAAUAUUUUGCACCAGAAAAAGACUCUAUAUGAUAACCUCCCUAAAUAUCAAAAUGAAUUAGUUUAAAUAGAGCAUGAAUGGAAAUACAAUUAAGAGGAGAAGAUAAAUUAGUUUGUAUAGCAAAAGGGAAAACAUCAUAUUGUUGAAAAUAUGAAGUAUUUAUUCACAACAUUUAGAAGAAAAAGGUGUUUCAAAAUUACAGGUUAAGAUGUGAUAUAUAAACCAUUAUGUUUUUCACUUUUACAAAUCAUCUUUCUCAAGCACGUGUGAGUUUACUAACAAAAAUGAGAUUAAAAUGAAAAAAAAGGUACUCAAAGAACAUUACAAAGGAUAAGGCAUAACCUUCAUGAAAUUUUUUUUAUUAUGCAUUACAAAAGUAAGACAAUUAUCAGAAAGUUUAAUAAUAGAAGAAAGAUUUGAUGUUAUAAAAUAAAAUAAAAAGUCACAAAAUUCACAACAUUAUUAGUUGUACCAUUUUCUAUUAUCUAAAAGGUAAUAUGAAAUGGAGAAAAAUUCAAACAAAUACUUGAUAGGUUAGUAGCGGAAGAACUGUUACCUAUUUGGUUUGCCAUGACUUAAGGCUUAAUGACAAAAAGUAACUAUUAAACUUGUUUAGGUGUAAAAGGUGAUGCAACAAAGUUGUUUCUAGGGGAUUUUUCAUCAAAAUGUGAUUGUUGUGCUACUUGGUUAACAAUUGGUUGAGAAUUCUUUUUAUGAAGACAAUGUUCACGAGGGGUAUCCAUAAACUUCAUAGCACUUGUCAAUUAUAUGACCAACCCACUCACAAUAAGCAUAGGUGAGACUCUCCUUUUUGAAAAUUUGAUUCCUAAUUGUAUCGCUUUCUUGCCAAUCGGUUUUGCUAUUGGGUUAUUAAUGAAGUUGUUUCAAUAGUAGGUUGUCUUGUUGCGAUAACAUUUCUUUAUCUCUCUUCUUUCAAAAUAAGAGGACAUGCUCGAUUCACAAAAGGAAAAUAAUCCAUAGGUAAAAUUUGUCCAUAGAUUACAACAUACAAGUUAUUUAAAUACAUUAAAAAUUGUAUAAGAUGUUACUUUACAAGUACCCUUCGAGCAAAGCAUGUACAAGUGGGAAAAAAAUUGGAAAUUUGCAAGUUCAUCCCAUAAGGCUUUUUAGGCGUAUAUAACAAGUGAUAACAAUUAUUGAUCUUGUUUGAGGGAAAUGAUUUCUCUUUCAAUUUGAAAAGUCCAGGAACAUUUAGUUGAACAAAAAACUCAUUGAGAUUAUACCAAAUUUCAACUCCAAUAUCUACAUAAAUAUAGCCUUAGAUAAAUAAUUUAGAAUCCAAGAUUUUACCAUGUUAUUACAAUGAUCCCAAAGACUACAAGUCUGUUUAGCUGUGUGAUUAAAAAACAAUUUUGUCUUUUAAAAAAUAAAAAAUUAUUUUUAAAAUUUCAUGAAAUUAUUUGGCUAUUGUUCUCUAUUUCUAGUUUUUAAAAAUAAAGUGAAAUAAAAAACAAUUUUUAAAGAACAAGUAGAAGUUAUUUUCACAAAUUUUUAAAAACAAAAGGAAAACAUAAAGGAAUUAAAAAACCAUAAAAGCAAAUAAAAUUGAACAUGAUAUCAUUCUUUUUUCUCUCCAUAAUCCAAUACCAAUACUAAAAAUAUUCAAAUAUGAUAUAUAUCUAUAUAGAUAUAUAUAUAUAUAUAUAUAUAUAUAUAUAUAUAUAUAUAUAUAUAUAUAUAUAUAUAUAUAUAUAUAUAUAUAUAUAUCUAUAUAUAUAUAUAUAUAUAUAUAUAUAUAUAUAUAUAUAUAUAUAUAUAUAUAUAUAUAUAUAUAUAUAUAUAUAUAUAUAUAUAUAUAUAUAUAUAUAUAUAUAUAUACCCAUAUAUAUGUAUGUUUAUAUACAUAUAUAUAUAUAUAUAUUUAUAUAUAUAUAUAUAUAUAUAUAUAUCCAUAUAUAGAUAUAUAUAUAUAGAUAUAUAUAUAUAUAUAUAUAUAUAUAUAUAUGCUCCAGGCACGGACGUGUGUGAGCCCCCCCCGCUCGCCCAUGUUGGUGGUUGGGGAGGAUGACAUGCCUCUAAAAGAGGCACAAUGAAGCAGGUGGUGGCUUACGGGAGAAGACAGGAAUAGGUGGGGGGGGGGGGGGGGGGAGAGAGAUAUAUAUAUAUAUAUAUAUAUAUAUAUAUAUAUAUAUAUAUAUAUAUAUAUAUAUAUAUAUAUUUUAGGAGGAAAGUUUAGCUUAGGAGGGGGGACUAGGGAUUUUUUUUAGCAGCUCGGAAGGAAAACAUGGGGAAUGGAGAUAUUUCAGGGGCAUUUUUUUUUCUCUGGCUUAAGAGGUCACAAAAAGGGUGAGGCUACCAGAGAGAGAUUAUAGAGGGAACAAGACAAGCUAGAGUGGGGGAGUACAGGGGAACAUUUUCUUUUCUUGAAGAGCAACGGAAGAUGGGGUCACGGAUCAUCAGGUAAAACCACCUUGAGCUUGAAUGGUUUCCGUUUAUGAAUGUUCUGCUUCAUUCUUUGUUGAUUUCUGAGGAUUGUUUGUUGUUUGUUUGGUUGACCAUGUUUAUUUGCAUAUAAUGCUCUGUUUUUUUUUUUGUCCUCGUUGAUACUUUUGUUUUUCCUCUGUAAAAUGAUUGGAUUCUUUUUUUGGGUUUAGGUUUGAUGUUUGAUGGUAAUAUUAAAGAUUUCCUGUUUGUCCCACCUGUUUUAAUCUCACAUAUCGUUCAUGAAAUGCAGCUUCGCCUAAUAUUUCUUGGGUCUCAUCGUUCUUACCCUGUUUUAAGCGAUCUCAUCCUUCACACCUAUCUGCUUCCAUGUUACUAGUUGUGGAGUAUUUUGGUUCGUAUAUCAUCACCCAAAAGCUCUUGCUUAUGGGGCGCAAACUGUGGUUAUAAAGUCCUUGUCACAAACAAUAUAUUAAAGAAUACCUUGAGCAAUUGUUUGAUCUUUGGGAAAAAUAAGCUAUCUAGAGAGGGUUCUAGCAUACAAGUCAACUGCUAAAGACAUAUUGAUCAAAUGUCAUGUGCUGGCCAAAACGCAUAGGGCAGCAAUCACUCUGUACCAUAACGCAAUUGUCAACUAAGUGACUAUUGGCUGUGACACGACCAUUCUUUCCAUAUCUCAUGCUCACGUUGGUGUAGAAAGAGCAUAGGCCAAGGAUGUGAUUGAAAUGGCAAUUUAAAAUGAAUGGGUUAUAUACUGCCAUGUGAGAACAUGUGGGAAAAUUUCACUGCCGCUCAAAACCGCUGGCCGAAAUCUGGAGAUUUCAUUCGUUCUUUAAGUGUAAUGUUGUGCAUGGCACGUAACACACAUGUUGACAGCCAAAUUCAAACGCAUUUGGAUUGGAGAUAAUGUCACGGCUAGCAAUAUAUCUUCCAAACACUAGCCAUAGAAGCAAUACCUAGCAUUAGUGAUUCGUUCCCAAUUGGUGUCUCAGCUGAUUCAUGUCCUCUCAAUGGUCCCUGACAGUGGUGCCAUUUGAUUCGUGUCCAACUGGUGUCCCUUGAUUUUGGUCCUCAAGGAGUAAUCAACAACAUUUAUAACCUAUUACACCAUGAACUAGGGUAGCAAAGACAAAGCUACUAUAGCAUAGUGGCUCUAAGAUCGUUCACUGGGAUGGGUUUUCACUUCACAAUUGAUAUUAAUUCAAAGCUGAAUUGGUGCCUUUUCAUUUCAAGGUUAGCUUUAAAAGAAAACAUAAUCUUUGGUAGAAAAGGUUGGUUUUAAGCUAACAAAAAAUAAUAACUGAUUUUAAUUACAAAGAAAAGUGUUUCUUGGAGUUUCAGAUCACUAGGCUCAGAUUCCUCAUACAAAAAGGGAGUUCCGGUCACUUCUUUAUUUUCCUCGCAUUGGGGAUUUAACAUAUAGUUAUUUCCCGAACCGGUGUUGUACAGAUGCUUCCCAUUAAUGGGUUCAAACACUAAAUCCCUCUCACUGAUGCAUCUUGCAAUGACUCAUACCUCUCACCUAGCACUUGCCAUUCAAGGUGAUCUUUAACCUUGGAUUACCCGUCAAAAGCUCACAAGAGAUAACUAAUGGAUGUCUCCUUGGAGUCCAAAAGCUUACCAAGUGUUGGCUAUUCUAGAAAAUCCUACCUUCAAACCACCUCCCAAAGGCUCGCAAGAGAUAAACUAGUGCAUCUCAAUGGAUUGAGAUCACUUGCCUUACCAAGUGUUGGCCCAGGUGAUUUAAAGGCGUUUUAAGUUAACUAAAAAGAUAAAAACCAUUAACGGGUCACACUUUCUCUUCAUUAAAAACUAAAACAACAAAACUUCCAAUUUAUGUAUGAGGAAACUUACCCGGCUUUCUUCACUCCAAGAGACGAAAAGUCUAACCUCUCAUCCUUUGAGGAAAAAUCCUUAGAGUUUGAUCGGCUAGAAAGUAAAAUAACAAGAAAACAAAAAUAUAUAUGAAAAGCAAAGCAAGUGCUCUGUAUUUUACUUCCUUCCAAAACUGUACAAAGGAUGCGUCUCUGGGAACAAGCUCCCGAGAUCGAUCCUUGAUCGAUAUAUGAUCGAUUCUAUAUAUGAUCGAUAUUACAAACUAUAUAUAAGGGGUUAUUCACCCUUUUUCCAAACUUAAUAACUAAGGAAUCCUAUAAUUGGUGGGUUACAAGGAGAUUUUGGGGAUUUAGACAACAAAUAUCUAAGGCAAAAUGUCUCCAAGUGUCGGUCGCACAUAUCUGGAAGCUUCAGGAGAACACCGCGGCACUGUGCAGAAAAAUAUCUCAAAAUGUCGGUCGGACAUAUCGGGAAGCUUCAGGAGAACACCGUGACACUGUGCAAAAUGGCUACGAAACUCUCCGGGUAAGCGCUAUCAGAGGAUCCAGAUACGUUUGACCGGGGAAGUUGAAACAUCCUCCUCUCCCAUCCGGCGUCAGGUGCCGGAUGCGAAAUAUCCGGAUGGAAUGUCGGCGGAGCAGAAUUCCGGAUGUGAGACAUCCGGGUGGAAUGUCAGCAGAGCAGAAUUCCGGAUGUAAGACAUCCGGGUGGAAUGUCGGCGGAGCAACUCCAUCCGGAUUCUCCAAGAGGACACAUGGCGCGCUCCCCUAUCCGGACUCCCUCAGGGAGAAGCACACGGCACUCGCGAUCAUCACACCCGGGCAAUAGCAUAUCCUAUCCGGAUAUGUUGUUCGAAUGAAAAAGAUAGCCUGCCACAGCCCACGCGGCACUCCGAUGGUGUGUCCGGACGCUCUGUCCCUUGCCAUGGAUUCCAAAAAACUCUCCUCAAUAUCGAAUUUCUUUGGUGAUCAAAAAGCUAUCAAAACACCAAAACUUAACACAAUUUGAUUAGAAUUGAUUGCAAGGGUCCUUAAUAUGUUAAUUGGGUUAACAGGUGAUAACUACUACUCAAAAGUGUUUAAAAGAGUUAAUUACAAGUUAUGAAAUAACACUUUUUGAGUAGUAAUCAAUUAGCUGAUAAACUACUGACAAAGCCAAGAAAUCCAGCACAGCAGAUGGUGGCCAGAUGAGGGUAACCGAAUGAAGCUUUCUGCAUGGGAAGCAUUACAAGCCAACAAGCCUUUGUAAGUUCCACAUUUAACAGACUGAAUGAGUGCUCUAUUAAUCUUGAUGCCUUAAAGUGGGUUGAUUGAGGAAUUGAGAAAGAAAUAAAUAAAACAAAGCAGCCCGUUUCAUGCUCACCAUAUCCAUUACCACUCGUGCUUGCCUUUGCUCUCUCUACACCACAUCACAUGCCCAUCACCACCCUCAUACCCAUGCAAACCCUACAUGCUUAUAUAUCCUACCCCACAUGCAUAGCCAUCCCCCGUAAUACCCAUGUAAAUACCCAUUUUCCACACCCCCUAUAUGUCAUCAAUUCUCUUUAAACCCUCUCAUACCCAUCAAAUAUCUUUCUCACCACCUUUUCUCUCCCUAUAUUACCACCCAUACCCAUGCCCAAGCUCACUUCCUUCCUUCAUACCUACUGCCCAUAUCCAUACUCACAUUUCAUACCCUCAUGUUUACCAUGUCCAUUACCACUCAUGCUUGACAUUCCCUCAAACCACCCCAUUAAACCCAUUUCUCUCUCUAAACUUUCUCAUACCCAUUAAACAUUUCUCUCACCACCCUUCAUUAUCUAUCCCACCUAUGUACAUCAUCACCCUUCCAUCUUAAUCCACUUUCACAUUCAACAUACCCAUCACCAAGCCCCGACCUUCUCUCCGUCUCCAUACCCAAUACCAUACUUUUGGAGCCGAUUCAUGCCACGGGUUUCUUGGGUUUUCUGGAAGCUGUUAUGAUGAAUAUGGAAGACCCACGUGAAUGACACCUAAACCAAAUUGGGCAUCCUUAAAUCUUGGUGUACAUAUAUCAAGGGCCCAUGAAGAUGAAUGUUGGUUGGACCCAUAUCCAACCUUGGGCCCAUAUCCAAAUGCCCCACCUUGCAUGGCCAUCCUCCUUGGCCCAUCUUCCAAGCCCACAAACUUUAAAAAUUGAUUAUUGAAAAUUCGGCUUCUAAAUAAUUCAAGUUCACAUUUUUUUUCAUCUUUAAAAUUUUUAAGCCCUAAAUUCCAUCUCCCAAUUUCCAAAAUCCCAAAUUUCCACAUUUAUUUAUUUAAUUGUCGCUAUUUUCAUUAUUAUUAUUAUUAUUUUAUUUAUUUAUUUUUAAAAUUCCAUCUCUAAAUAGUUCUUCAAAUUUCCAAUCUCUAAAUUCAAUUUCCAAAUUUCAAAUUCCAAUUUUCACAAUUAUUUAUCCAAUCAUUAUUAUUUUCGUUAUUAUUGUUAUCUCAUUCAUUUAUUUAUUUACUUAUUCAUUUAUUUAAAAUUUCAUCUCCAAAUUUUCAAUUUCUAAAUUCAAUUUUUAAUUUCCAAAAUUCUAAUUUUCGCAAUUAUUUAUCUAAUCAUUAUUAUUUUCAUUAUUAUUAUUAUUUCAUCCAUUCAUUUAUUCACUUUUUCAUUUAUUUAAAAUUCCAUCUCUAAAUAAUUAUUCAUCGAUUUCCAAAUUUAAUUUCCAAUAUUCAAAAUCCCAUUUUCAACGUUUAUUUAUUUAAUCAUUAUUACUUUCAUUAUUAUUAUUAUUAUUAUUAUUAUCUUUUUUAUUUAUUUAUUCAUUCAUUUUUAAAAAUUCCAUUUUUAAACAAUUCUUCAAAAUUCCAAUUUCCAAAUUUAACUUCCAAUCUUCAAAAUCCCAUUUUUCACAUUUAUCUAUUUAAUCAUUGUUACUUUCAUUAUUAUUAUUAUUAUUAUUAUUAUUAUUAUUAUUAUUAUUAUUAUUAUUAUUAUUUAUUCGUUCAUUAUUUAAGAUUCCAUUUAAAUAAUUCCCCAAAAUUCCGAUUUCUAAAUUUAAUUUCCAAUUUCUAAAAUUCAAAUUUUCACAUUUCUUUGUUUAAUCAUUAUUAAUUUCGUUAUUAUUAUUUUAUUUAUUAAUUUAUUUAUUUUUAAAAAUUUCAUCUUCAAAUAAUUUUUCAAAAUUUCCAUUUUUAAAUAAUUUCCAAGUUUUCAAUUUUCAUAAUUUAAUUUUCCAAAACUCCAAUUUUCAAAUAAAUUUCAAAAAUUCAGUUUUCUCUUGAAUAAUUUUAAUUUCACCCCGAUGCUCAAAUAAUCUUCUGUUCCUCUUGAUUUUUAAUAAGCGUGAAUUAUUUUUUUUCCAAAAUAAUGGAAUUUGUGAUAUUAAUUCAUGCAAAACAAAUUGGGCUUUGGUGGGGGCCCUACUUAUGAGAUCUCUCUUCUGAUUGUUAAUUGUUAAACCUAAUGAAUAUUGUUUGAUUUUUGUUUUGAUCUUUGACAUGCAUGCAAUAUAUUUUGUAUUUGUUAUUGCACACUAACUCUGUUUUAUGAUGGCGCAUUACUCGCUUGCUGACAAGGUACGCACCCAUUCUCACUCUGACCAUUCUCCAUGUUUUGUUUUGGCUCCCAAUGUAUGAUCAUAUUUUGUUAUCCACGUUUAAUAAAUCAAUUGUCACACGUGCUUCAUCUUACUAGUAGAGACCCAUUUUUAGCAACUUAGAGGGGUGCUAUGGUUUUUACCGUACCUUCCCAAUAAGUAACCUGACCCCCGAACCCGACUCAAUUUUUUUCGCAGAACACCUUUUUCAAUUAAGGAGUCACACUUAGGGUUUCUUUCUUAUUUUGUCUACUCUUUAAAAAUAAAAUAAAAAUAAGUGGCGACUUCAUGUCAUUUUCUUAAUAAAUAAAUCAUUUUUCAAAUAAAAAUCGAGUUCGCCAUCGAGUGGAAGCGCAUGAGCCAAAAUACGGGGUCCACAAUUAGUUUUUAAAAAAUAAUUCAAAACUCAAAACUUAUUUAAUUAGAACUGGAAAGUCAUGAAACUCAAUAACAUUAGAAAAUCAUAAACCAAAAUUCAGAAGGAAAUGUCUUGGCUAGUUCUUCUUUGCAUAUAAUCAUAUAUGUGUAAAUUCUUUUUUACUAGGCAAAUAAACUCCAAAUUAAAUAGGACUUAAAGCAUUGGAUUAAUUAACAAGUCUAAUAAUUUUUAAAAAUAACUUAAAACUUAAAUAAUGAUCCAACUACUACCAUAAAUUUAUGAACAAAAAUUAGUUUAGAACAACUCUAUUGUUUCUCUUCUAUAUAGAAUUAAUUUUUUUUCCACUAAGAAAAUAAAAUCCAAAUUACACAAGACUUAAAAGCAUUAUAUUCAUUAACGAGUCUAUUAAUUUUUAAAAAUAAUUUUUAGUCAAAUAGAGAACCCAUUAAUACCAUAAAUGUGUGGAUAAAAAUUAGUUCAAAAUGAUAUUUUAUUUUUUUUACACAUAAUUAUAUUUUCAUAAAUUUUUAUAUUAGGUAAAUGAAUUUCAAAUCAAGCAACACCUUUUAUUAAAUUUAUUAAUCAGUUUAAUUUUUUUUUAAAAAUAAGUUAGAACUCGAAAAUAAAUCUAAUCAUAAUAAAAAUAAUAUAAAAAAAUCGAUAUAUUAUAAGUCAUGAUUUUAUUGUCUUUCUUAUCUACACAACCAUAUUUUUUGAAUUUUCUCAAUAGGUAAAUUGAUUCUAAAUUAAAUAAGACAUAAUUAAUAAUUUUUUUAAAAAAAUUAAUGAAUAUUUUCAUUUUUAAGAAUAAUCUGAAUUAAAAAAUUGAUAUAAUUAAUUGCAUAUUAAAUAAAAACACUUCAUAAUAUUGUAUUCAUAAUUGAGUACUAAAUGUUUACCUGUAAUGAAAUUUUUAACUCAUUAACAUGUUAAAAAAAUUAAUCUUUAUUUUUAUUUAUUAUAAAUAAAAUAUUAUUAACAAUUAUUGUUUUAUUAUUAUUAUUAUUAUUAUUAUUCAUUUUUAACAAAAAAGACAUCUUAGGAAAAAUGUUAAUAUCUAUUUUUUAACAUAUACUGAAAUAGUAUAUUUUUAUUAAAAAAAUGUAAUUUAUGAUUUUAUUAUAAUAUUGCUAUUCAUGUUUUACUAAAAUCUAUUCAUUUUUUUAAUUUAUUUAUAAUUACAAUCCAAAUUCAUUUUUAAUAAGACUUGAAUUACAUUUAAUUAAUAUUAUUUAAAAAAUCAAAAUAAAAAAUUAUUUUUAAAAACAAAUUAUUCAAACAAGUUUUUUAUUUUUUAUUUUUAAAGAUAAUUUUCCAAGUACCCUUAUUUUUUAUAAAAUUAAAAAAAAUGUUUUUAAUUCUCUAACUUAAAAACAAUUUUUAAAAACACAAAACAUAAAAAAGCAUGGUUAAAUAGGCCCUUUAAUUUGGAUUUAUUCUCUAUAAUUUGGAUUUAUUGAGAACGUUUUGUGAAUUAAACCAUUAAUGAAAUUGACUUUGUUUUUUGCACUCAAAGCCAUAAGGAUAGCCCUGCUCUAAGUUGAAUAGUUUCCACGACAAGAAAUUGAGACAUAAACAUAAAUACUAGGUUAUCAAGUGCUCUAAUACCAUAUGAUAAAAGCUUGUAUCGAAAACCUAUUAACAACAAUCAUAACAUUUUAACCAAUUUAAAUUUAAAUUUAUAAAAUAUCAAAUCUAAAAUAUUUUUUGGCUACUUCAACUUUCAACUUUUAAUUUCUAAAAAUCUUACUUAAUUUAAGUGUUUAAAUCUAAUUAUAAUGUGUUUACUUAUAUAAAAAAUUAAAAUUAAAAUUUCAAUUUUGCACUUGUUUAUUAUGUAAUUUAAUUUUUAAAUUAUAAAAUGUUUUAAUCUUUAUAAUCAAAUAUUACUUUAAUUAUAUUACAUUUAUAAUUAAAAGAACAUGUUUAAUUUUUAUAAUUUUUAAAUAUAUAAAACUAAUAAAUUUAAAUGGUUAAACCAAGAAACAUGAUGAAUCAUAAACAUGUCAUUUUAACACAAUUAAAUAGGGAUAUUUGACAGGGUUGAAAAAGUAAUAUGACCCGUGUCAACCCAUUUGUUACGGGAAUUGACAUAAUUAUGGCUCGAAUAGGAUUACACUAGUGGAUGUUCCGUAAAACAAUUUAAGAACUUAAAACAAUUUAAGAACUUAAUUUAAGUCAUUAAGAAAAUUAAGUAUGCUUGGUAAUAUAACUUAAAGUAAAAAAAUAAAAAUAAUUAAUUUAUUCUUAAGUUUAUAUCUUCAUUUUAUAUUUUUACCCUCACUCACCAUAAUUAUAUUCACAUCUCCUUUGUUACUCUACAUUUUCACUUUUACUCAACCUCUUUUUCCUUAAUUAUAAUUUUUGAAGAUAAAUAUGUUAAUUUGAUGAUUUAAAAUAUAUUUAAGUUAAAUUUAUCGAAUAACUUUAAUAUUUAAAAAAAUAAUUAAGUAAUAAAUUUUAAGUUAAUAAUUUAUAAGUAUAAUUUAACUUAAAAUUAAUUUAAAUUAUUGAGUAAUAAGUAUUAAGUUUUAUCAUACGACUCCUAAUUUUUAUAUACUUGCAUAUCAAAAUCACUAACCUUGCUGUAUGGGCCAUACAAAACAGUGGUCAAUCGGAAAUGCUUAUAUACGUUAAAAAUUCUUACUUGGGCGAAGGAUUUGAUUUGUUUAUACCAAAGAUCCAAUUUGCUUUGGUUGGACAUAGAAUAGGGAGGAGGGUAAAGGGUUAAUGUUUGUAAUUUUGGUGGAAGGCUGUUUUUGUGAAGCAUUCGAAAUCUAUGAGAAGGAGCGUGUGGCCUCCAUAGAGUGGAAUUGAAGCAGUUCUCAACAAAGAUAGAGAAGGGGACGAAGGAGGCUUUGCCCCUCAUUUCUUUCGGCAUAUUGAAGAAGAAGUGAGAGUGGAGAAUGGCGAGAACAGCAUGCCACACUCUCCUUCCAACUUUGGCCUUCCCGUUCAAAUCUUCUUUCUUCACAAAAUCUCCAAUCCUCUGUCCUUCACAGUCUCUGUUCUUCCAUGCCUUUCCCAAGCCUUUUUCCUCUUCUUCUUCGGCCAAGAUAAGCAUGAGCUUGAAGGCUGGCAUCGUCGGACUCCCUAACGUUGGCAAAUCCACUCUCUUCAACGCCGUUGUAAGCCCCUUCGUAAUCUCUCUCGUGAAUUCAGCUUGUCGUCGUGGGAAAAUGCAAUAUAUUUGAGGAUUUUGGUUUUAGAUUUUUCGUUAUUUGGGAUAUUAGGAAUAGAAGAGCUUGGUAAAAUAGGGCCUCUGCUUGCAUUUUGUGUUAGCUUAUUUGUUAACGAAACACUGAUUGAUUGUUGGGAGAAAUGAAGGCAAAGCAAAGAAAUUGAGGUUUUGAGUUUUCGAUUUUAGGUUUGUCUUUGUUUAGGAUAUCAGAAAUGGAAAAUCCUAUGUUUCUUGGUUUUCUGGGCAACCAAACGGGGAAAUGGAGAGAAUAGGGCCUCUGUUUGCUUUUUCUGUCAGUUUAUUUAUUGAACCGAACUUGAGAUGUGCUUCAUUUUACUUCUCUUUGAAUGUCUAUCUGUAGGUGGUGUUGUUAUUCAUAGACUCUGUGGUUGCUGUGAAGAGAAAAAAAAAAAAAACAAAUGGCAUAAGAUUUUGAGUUUUGGGAUUUUCACUGUUUGGAAGUUGAAAACACAGGUCCUCUACUGGCAUUUUGUGUUGGCUUAUUUGUAAGCAAAUCAGAACUUGAAUUUGUGUUUUAGUCACUCAAUUAAGCAAUUUUUUCGGUGCAUAGAUUAUGUAGUCAGGGAGACUUGGUUGAUCCUUCCUACUUUGUUGAGAUGCCUUGAUAUUAAGUAGGAUUUUGGCUAGCUACAUAUGUAAGAUCUGGGUCGUGUUCAUUACAUAAAUCCUCAAGUGGAUGUUCAUGUGGUUCUGGGAUGGUAUCUCUUUUUGAAUAGUAUUUUUCCAGUGUACCAAAAAAAUGUGGAUCAUUUUUGUUUCUGGCCUUCAACAUUAUUGAUAUAUCAUAAAUGUUUACUGUUGGUAUUUACCAUCUAGUUACAAAGUUAUGGACUUGAGAUGGUUAUACAAUCAGAUGCAUUCUUAUCAGCUGAAGGACUACAGUUGAUUCCAAUUAUGAUAGCAAAUGCCUUAAUCUAGUGCAUGAGGUUCUAAUAUGUCCUGAAUUACCUCUCUGAAUUAAUAGCCAACAUGAUACUACAGUUGUUGUUUUUUGUUUUUUUUUCUUCUCUUUAUUUUUAUUUGUUAUAUUGCUAACUGAUUCUCUUGCUCUGCUUCCCAGUUUUUAAUUUUUUUUAAUCAGGCAUCUAGUAUUAAUAAGAUAACAUAUUUCAGGUUGAAAAUGGGAAGGCUCAAGCUGCGAAUUUCCCCUUUUGUACAAUAGAGCCAAAUGUAGGGAUUGUUGCUGUUCCAGAUCCACGCCUCCAUGUACUUUCUGAUAUCAGCAAAUCUCAACGAGUAGUUCCAGCAUCUAUAGAAUUUGUAGAUAUUGCUGGGCUUGUAAAGGGAGCCAGUCAAGGGGAGGUGAAAGUUUCUUGAUUUCUUGUAGUAUUGUGUUUUUUCAAUAUUCAUAGUUUGCCUUUUCAGUUGUCUUACUUUUAAGUUAUUCAACUUAACAAAUUUUCGAAAACUCAAUCUUUCAAUUGCAGGGUUUGGGUAAUAAGUUCUUAUCACAUAUUCGGGAAGUGGACUCCAUACUUCAGGUUCUUGUCUACCUUCAUGCAUUGACGUUUUUUGUUCCUGUUUAAAAUGAUUAACUCCUUUUAUUUUAUGGAAUCUUUUGCCUGUUUUUUAGUUUCAACAAUGACAUGAUUCAGGAAAACUUGUAGAUAGAAAUUCAGAAUGGCACUAUUUUUUUAAUGGUUCAGAAAGGAAUUAUUUACUUUGUCUAUUUUUCUUUUUGCAUGUUUACACCAUGGUUAAGUUUUUGCCUCAUUUCCUUCCCUUUUUUAUUGUUCUAUAGAUGCUUGUGGUUAUAUUGAUAAACAUUUAAUUUCUCUUAAGUCGGAUUCUUUGUGAAAAUAUGAUAGAACUUAGCAAAUGUAUAUUUUUGCUCUACGUUAACUGAAAUGGUUAUGUCAGUGUGGCCUUAGUAGUGGUUGAAAAUUUUUAGGGUCUACCUUUAGCACACCUGGGUUCUGAAACUUAAAAGACCACCAUUGUUUCAAUAGCUAGUUUGAAAUGCAUGCACUUAGAUUGGUCAUUUGAGGUGUCUACUUUUCAUUUCUGGGUAGUGGGUCCAUGGAUUUGUCAAUUUUUGCCAGUGGAUAUUGGGUUGUAUAGAAGUUAGGAACUUAGGAAUUAGCAGGUGUUUGCUGUAAGUGGCACAUGAGUUGUUAAAGUUGUGAAGAAGUUGGUUUUCAGUAGGAGUUUUUGAAUGAAUUGUAUUCUGUGUUUAAGAGAAACUAAUCUUGUCUUAUGCCCUUUGGCCUUGCCUCACUUAGUAGGGAUUGAAAUUUCCUUACAUCAUGCUUUUGUUUUCAAGAACACUGGUGUGUUUUAGAUUUAGUAAUUUUAUGCUUGAAACAUUUGAAGAAGGGGAAUAUUUUUUGAAAUUCUGGUGCUCAAGAAGUUACUGGGAUAGUGAUCUUGUCUACAAAUUGGGGCUGCUUGAUGUAAAUGAAGGUUGGUAACAGUUUCAUUUUCUUGCAUGUGGGAGAAAUAGAAGUUUGAACUCAGGCCUACUGAAUACACAUGGGUGACCUUGUAACUGCAUCCUUGCAACAUGCAUAUCCUUGUGGAGUGCUGUUUUACAAUUUUUACAUGCCUUGUAUUUCCUGGUAGUCAUUCCUCACCAUUCCAUGCCUUAACUGUUUCAAUUUACUCAACUGCAGAAAUUCCUCUUAGUACUACAGCCUUGACUCUCAAAUAUAAAUAAUUAUUUUCACGCACUCACAUAGGCUGGAAAGGGGAAAUGAAGUGACUAGGAAAGCUAUCUUCAUGAGAAGUUGCUAAUUCUUAUCCAAUGCUAGAUCUGGCAAACCAUUCAAUAAAUACUUUGAGCACCUUUUGAACUAUUGGCUAUUUCAUUCAACCGGACUUGUAAUUGCAGUGCAGAGAGUGCUGAAUGACUGAAUAUGAAUCAUCAUAAAGCUUUGUCGAACUAGUUUGCAUGUGGAAGUAUCAGGUUUUCUAUGGAGAUGUUUGAGGACUCACAUAAAUGGAUGCGAAGGGUUCAUCCUUUAAUGAAGAAACCAAGUUUUAUUGCAUGGACUACAAAGUUUUUGAUAUAUGUUUUACUUUUUUGGAGUUAUCUUUAAUUGAUCAAUCAGAUGAAUUAUCCAUUAGCAUGUACUAUCAUUCAUAAUGUGAAGAUAAAGUUGUAAAAGCCAUGUCAUGAAGAUCAUGCAUAUCGUUUUGGAGAGUGUUUUUGUUCAUUCCUUUUCUGUAUUAUGUUAUAAAGGCCUGCUGUUCGUUGGUUAAUUAUUGAGCCGUUGAUUAUAAUUUCAGGUUGUACGCUGUUUUGAGGACAAUGACAUUGUUCAUGUGAAUGGGAAAGUUGAUCCAAAGUCUGAUAUCGAUGUCAUCAACUUAGAGCUAGUUUUCUCAGAUUUAGAUCAGGUAUGCCACUGGGAGGUUGUUGCCCAGUUGAAGUUCAAUUCUGGAAUUACUUAAAUACCAGUUACCAGCACUAUGUGAUUUUCAUGAGAGUGGCAUUCUCAUGACUUUGCUUGCUAUUUAGUGGAUAUGACAUGAAAUCUUCCUAUCGAAUAUUGCAUAAUAUUUAUAAUUUUGUUGUCUGAUGUGGCCAUGUCAUGUAAUUUUGCUGUAUGAUUUGCACUUUUCAUCAUAGGAAUUGUAUUUUCUGGACUGUUCAACAUAUCCUAUAACACAUAGAAACUUCUGUUUGUCUUCAACAUACAUCAAUAACAUAUUAUGAUAGGGUGAACUGAUAGAACUAAAUUGCACCUUCUACAAGAAAUGCAGAUAGAGAAAAGAAUGGAGAAGCUGAAAAAAGGCAAAGCAAAGGAUUCACAAUCUAAACUGAAGGUAGGAUAAUUUCCAUGUCUCAAGUUACUACAUGAGUAAUAUGUUUUAUCGAUAACCUUCUUUCAAUAUUUAUUUUAGCCCGAGGCAAUAGUAGUUUUAAAUAUACAGCUGCAAUCUCUUAAUUUCAGGAGGAAGCGGAGAAAUCAGCCCUGGAAAGAAUUCGGGAAGCACUUAUGGAUGGAAAACCAGCACGAUCAGUAACUUUAACCGAUUUUGAGAAAGAUGCUAUAAAGCAUCUUUGUUUGCUUACAAUGAAACCAAUCAUAUAUGUGGCUAAUGUUGCAGAAUCUGACUUAGCUGAGCCUGGAAGUAAUCCCUAUGUUAAAGAAGUGAUGAACCUUGCAUCUGAGUUGCAAUCUGGAAUUGUAACAAUCUCAGCACAGGUUGAAUGGACCUUUGAGCAUAAUCUUUUUCAUUCUUGAUUACUGAAAAGGAUUGUGGACAUGUGCUUACCUGUAUUUCUUUCAAAUUGUUUUUUGAAGUUUUUCUCUCUCGAGGGUUUUGUUUUGCAUGUGUGAAGGGAGAAAAGCUAGUUAUUUCUCAAUAUUUCAUCCUUUACUAAUAUAAUAAGUUUGUGCUUACCUGUAAAAGAAUUGUUUCCUUUUUGUUUCCAUUAGCUUUUGCCAAAUGCUGAUACAAGUGUUUAGGUUGCUAACCUCCAAAUUAGAUAAUUAAAUUUGAGAAGCAUGUUAUUGCAGGUUGAGUCAGAACUUACUGAACUUCCAUCUGAAGAAAGAACAGAAUUUCUGAAAUCCCUUGGUGUCAGUGAAAGUGGCCUUGGAAACCUUAUUAGAGCAACAUAUAGCCUUUUGGGGCUGCGUACAUACUUUACUUCUGGUGAAAAGGUGAUAAAGACAAUUCCAAAGUGCAUUUUCUGAUUUAGUUAUUAUUAUUUUCAUACCUACUUGUUUUAAAAUUGUUUUCAUGUUGUAUGUAGGAAACAAAAGCAUGGACCAUACUUGCAGGUUAGUUUUGGUUAUUCUUGUAGCGAAUUAUAUUCUAAAAACCAUAACAGAAUUCUUUGUACUAGACCUUUACUUACUCUUUGGUAGUUUUAAUGUCGGUUGUACCCUUGUAUUGAUCUGAUGGUCAAUUUCCUGUUGGUGGAGAUUGUAUUGAACUGCUAUUGGUCAAUGGAAAACAAAUAUUUGACUGCUAUUUAUUGAACUUCGUUUGGUUUUUGUUAGGAAUGACUGCACCUCAAGCUGCUGGAGUUAUUCACUCAGACUUUGAGAAGGGUUUCAUACGAGCUGAGACGGUAAACUUCAUUCUUGAAAAUUGUUAUAAUGAUAUCUCCCUAAGGCUGAUAUAAUGAAUGGUGAAUAUUUAAUGGUUUUAUUUCAUCAGGUGGCUUAUGAUGAUUUUGUUGCUGCUGGUUCACUUGCAGCUGCUAGGGAAAAAGGACUUGUGAGUUGGUUGCUUUAUCUUUGGCACAAUUUUUUUUUAGAGAGGGUUUUGCAAUUGCACAUAAACAUGUUAUAUCACAUUUGCUGACUCUUAUGGAACCUCAUACUUUUGUUUCCGUGUGUUUCACUUGCCCACUUAUAGUAACGUAAGGGGAUAUAUCCUUUUGACAAAAUAUUGCCAAUAUUUUUUAAAUAGCAAUGAAUAGGUGGAAGAAAGAGAAGACAUUUCACUUGUUCUAAGGCAUAUUGUCACAACUUUCUCAAAUGACCCUUCCUUAAGCUUAUAUAUAUAUAUAUAUGUGAAUAGAAAGCUUUUGGAACCUCUUAGAGUCAUCUACAAUAGUGGAGGAGUGUGGAAGGUUUUAGAGAAGCUUAGAGAUGUCCACAUAUCUCUACACUAAGGUGGAAGAGAAGGGAAGAGUGUGUGAAACUAUUUAGAGAGUUCUAGAGGUCUCUUGUAAAUCCAUAGGUUCUUAUAAAUAGAAGGUGGCCUUAUUUGGCCAAGGCACCUUGACAUUUUGUGGAUACUGUCAUGGAUGUUUCUGUAUAUUUGCAUUAUUAAUAUUUCCAUCAGUUUUGAUAUUUUAACCUUCGAUUAUUAGUUCUGAACCUUUCAAAAUCAUAACUUCAAUUUCUCUUCUAAGAUCAAGGAGCUAGCCAUGAUAAGACAUCUUUUUGAUAGGAAACAACAUUUUAUUAAGGAAAGGGAAUCUUUACAGAGAAAGAUGAGCUAUCCUUCAAACUCUACUAAGAUAAUACUUCCAAUAUAAUUUUUGAGUUAAAGGAAAUUGUAUAUAUGUUUAUUUUUGAAAUUACAAGUAUUAUGUAUAUAUUGUAUGGAAUACUUAGAAUUCCUGUGACAAAUAAUUCUUUUUUUUUUGGUAGUUAAAAUGAGAAUAUAUAUAAAAGGACUAGAAAAAGAGCCCACCAAAGUACACAACUAAUAAUUCCCAACUUGGUCCAUUCAAACCAAAGCCUCAAAAAACAAAAAAGGAGAGCUGCAAUGGCAGUUUCUUUUUUCUUUUUUCUUUUCAUUGAUGUUGCAAUAGUGUUGAGAGAUGGUUAUUUAGGCAAAUGUUGUGAAAUUAUGUCACAGUUUAUAAUUAUUUCCCUUGAGGAGUAUCGGGGAGAACUUGUGAAUCUAAAACCAUAUUGUAAAAUGACCCCUAACCAAGCAGAGCUUCUCACAUUUCUUUCUUGCCUGUUGAUAUGAUUACUAGCUCAGCGUUUUAACAUAAAAUUUCAACAUGUAGUACUUUGGCAUGACUAAACCUUAUAAUAGCAAAAGAUAAUUGCAUGAAAAGACCUCCAUUUAUGCCAUUUCCUCCUAAUUUAUCACAGUUUCAAAAAUCUAUUCAAACUCUCAAAUCCCAAUUCCAACACCACAACAAAACCAACUAACUACAUGGUCACAAAGAAAUUCCUAGUGAUGCAACUACAAUAAUGUAUUUCUUUAUGUUGAACUUUCAUUUAGGGAAAUUGAUUGUCUAACAUGAAAUAAGAGUCUUGUUUGGUGGGAAGCCAUAUGUUCGAACCUUACCGCAUCUUUAUUUCCUCAAUUUAUUAAGCCUAAAAGAGGUCAUUUUAUUUCUCCAAUUUAUUAAGCUUACAUGUAAACCCAAAGGGGCUACAUGUGAGAGAGGGUGUUAGAAUGCAUGAUUUACAUUGUGGGUCCAAAUCCUAUAAUCUUAAACUUUUAAGAAAAUUGGUCAAUGCUUAUCCUAUAUUUGGUUGAUCAAAUAUCUUUGUGUUUCUAGCGUCCCAGACAAUGAAAAGUCUUAGUAUUAAAAAGUUCUUCUCUUUCCUACAUUUUUUCCAGCAAUUUGAUGGAUUUGGAAUAAAAUGAAAAACUGUAGAUCCCAUCAUCAACAUUGGUGUUAAUAAAGUAACCUUGCAUCCACCCAUCACGUAGGACUGGCCGAAAGAUCCUGUGUUAAAAAUGGGUUUGCUAAUGCAUAUCCUUAAUGUUGCUUUGGGUUCAAGCAAUUUCCUUUGUGGGAAAUUCAACUAUAAAUUUUUCUGUGUUUCUCAACAGAAAAAAGAGGUUCUUGGAAGUUGGAUUUCUUGUGGUGGAGGAAAUUUGGUUUAUCCUCUGAGCUAAGCUACUCCUUUUUAUGGAUUCCACGCUCCACCAACCAUUUGACAGAUUAUUUGGUGGAGCACGGUGCUUCUAGUUUGGAGGUUUUGUUGGCGAGUUCAUGCCUCCUUGCUCUAUGGUCUUUGUUUUGGUUUUUUUAUUCUACCAGGGGCUUUUGCCUUUAUAUUCUUGUUCAUUUUUCUCCUCUUUGGUGGAUGUCAUCUCUUCCAGCAUUUUGUUCUUCCCUUUUUUAUCAGAUCUUGUAUUUCUAUGAAUGAUAUAAUCUUUGUACUUUCUAAUUCAGCCUAUAAAAUGAGUUUUAUUUCUGAUAAAAAGAAGGCACACCACAUUCACAAACUUAUGCAUGUGCACACACAAGCAUGAAGAACUUUUUUUUUCCUCAAAGAUACAUGCUGAUUUGCUGAAACUAUUGGUGUUUGACAGUUGAGAUCCGAGGGAAAAGAUUACAUUGUACAAGAAGGAGAUGUAAUGCUGUUUCGUUUCAAUGUUUGACCUCAAUAUUGCUUCUCAUUGCUUUACCCAAUCAAGCUGGUAGACAAUUCAGGAUAUAGCUCAUUUUAUAUGAUGGUCUUGGAAAUUCCUGAUGAAUGGGAUUGUCUUAGAUGGAAAGGCCUGUGCUGACCGCAAAACAGUAAGGUAUUCUUUCAUUUUUACGUCCAGAGGGAAGUCAGAAAUUUUGCUUGUUGAGGAAAUACUUUAACUGAUGUGAAUCCAGUUGGUUACAUCUUUGUAAAACUAAGUAAUUUUAACAGGAAACUAAACUAAGAGGAAACAGUGAAGUCAAUAAUACUAAAAAGAUAUUAAGUUUUUUCUUCCUUCUUUCCCCCUUAAUAUUUGGAUAUCAUGUCAUAACCUGCUCAAAUGACCCUUUCUUGAACUUAUGCAAGAGAGCAGGAAGCUUUUGAAACCUUCUAGAGUCAUCUACACUUAGUUACUAGUGGAGAAGUGUGGAAGCUUUUAGAGAAGCCUAGAUAUGUCCACACAUCUCUACACGAGAAUGAAAGGUAAGGGAAAUGUGUGGGGCAUUUAAGAGAGUUCCAGAGUACUCUUGUAAAUACUUGUAUAUAGGAUUUGUAUAGGUGUUUCUAGAGAAUAAGGAGGUGACCUCAUUUGGCCAAGACACCAAGCAAGUUGAAAGCUUCCUAGCAUUGUAAGCAUUCUUGUACAAUACAAAGCUUCCUUUUUUUUGGUGUUACCUUUGUUUCGCAUCCUAGCUACCAAGUCAUGUAGCAUUGCUUAACAUAUCAAGUUCAAGGUUAGGGAAAGGCUGACUUAGCAACAUCAAAUGGUUAAAUUGUUUAAGUGCUACACGUGAGCUUAGGAAAGGCCCAAGUCUGUAACAAUCAGGUACUGUUGUUCAGUUAACUGUUUUAUGGCCAACUUGAGGGAAAGAUUUUACUUGCUUUGUUUUGUCAGUAUAUUUGAAAAAUCCAAUAUAUGUGCUAAUUUGAUUAAGCUGCUGAAAUUUAAAGAAAAAAUCUGGGAAAUAUUCACAUGAUUAGAGUCAUAAGUAAUCUGAUGUUGACGAAUAUAAAUUAGAGACAAAAGGAAUUAAACGAAAUAGGGUGAAAUAGUAUGCAAUUUGUAUAGACUAAUGAUGAGAUGUCUUUAUCUUCAACUUUAUAGUGCUAUUUGUGAUGAUUAAGGCUGUUGCCCUGUUUUGAAUCUUUAUUGAUUUGAUUGAUGAUGUUUUUUGCCUUUAAGCAAACACAAAGUCCUGAAGCUUUCACUUGGAAGCUAAGCUGAAAACAAGCUUUAUCACUUCCCAAAUCUACACUCUUUAAGAAAAUCUAAGAUCACAUUCAAUGAUCAAACCCUAAUACUAGGAUUUUUCUAUCUAUUUUCCAUAGUCCCAAACAUAAAAGUAUACAAGUCACCAGUUUUUAUGCUUGUCACAUCCAUCAUUUUCCUGUAUUCUAGGUCCUCUUUAGGAUGUGAUUUAUUCCUCAGUGCUGUUUGCUCCAAGAUGAAAAAUGGAAGGAAAUAACACUGGUUUUGAACUGUUGAUGGGUUCAGAACCUGUAUUAUGAAGUUAAUAAAAAAGCUUAAACUAUGAGGUUAUGGAUUAAUAAUGUUUUUUAUUGGGCACUGAUUAUUUCCAAUUUCCAGCUGUGUGGUGGUUGUAGAAAGACAUAGAAACCAAGGAGAAUGAUUGAGCUUUAGAAUGGAUUGGUGUGCAAUAAUUUACUUAGGAUAGAAUUAGAGACGGCAGAUCUGGCAUAUUGCAUUUGGGACACAAGAGGAUGUAUAGAGUUGUGAAAGGGCAAGCAUGAGCCCCAAUGAGGAAACCAUUUGGAAUGGUGUUAAGCUUUAAGACAAAAAUGUGCAUGUGCAUACCCAUUUUCAUAUAACCAUUAGGGACAAGGCAUCUGCUCAAAUCUUCCAUGCCUGUGGGGCACUUUUCUCAAACAGAUGGCUCUUUCUAUUGUUCUUGUGCAACACAUUGAGACUAUCUGCAAUGGUUCUGUAAAAUUUAAAAGGUUAGGUCUCAUUUGUUUGUUGGUUCAAAUGUUAGUAUAAAGCUUGUUUUGAAGUUAAGUUUUAUUUACAUAUAUUUUAUUUGAAUAUAAAAUGAUAAAAAUAAAAAAUAAAAAUCCAACUUUUAUCUAAGGCUAUGUUUUCCAAAAUGUUGAGGAAAAUGCGAUGGAAAGAAAAUAAAAAGGAAAGUGGAAGAAAAAAAAAAAGUGAAAGAAAAUGAAAAAUGUAUUUAAAUUUAAUAAAUUAUUUUUAUAUAUUAUUUAAUUUGUUUUUUUUUUUAUCUUUUUUAUAUAAAGAUAACAUAAUUUGAAAAUAAGUAACUUUUUAACUAAUUUUAGUUAUAUUUAAUUUUUUAUUUUUUAUAAUAUAAUCAAAUAUGAGAAAAUAUUUUUUUAGUAUUUUUUUUCUUUCUUUAUUUUCAAAACCAAAUAUAACCUUAAAUUUGAAGUCAAAAUGGAAUUUAUAGGUUGAUUAUUAUUCAAAUUUUAGAUAAGUUUAAGUAAUGUAGCUCUAAUGUCUCUUUUCGUUCCCAAACUUUUUUGAAAGUCGCAAGAUAAUGUGUUCUUGAAUAUUGAAAAGUAUUUAUAAAUGCAUAAAAAAAUAAAAGAAAAUAUGAAAUAAAUUUAAAAUCAAUAAAUUAUUUUUAUAUACUAUUUUAAGUUAAUUUUAUUUAUUUUAGCUCUUAUAUAUAAUUAAAAUAAUUUAAGAUUAUAAAAAUUUUAAUUAAUUUAAUUGCAUUUUAUUUUAUUUUUUUCUCACAUUUUUUUCAUAAUAAAAUCAAACAGGAAAAAAAAAAAUCAUUUUUCUUAAAAAAAAUUUCUUUAAAUCAAACAUAACAUUUGAGUGCAAAUGUUUUCUUUAAAAUGGUUCCAUGCAUAAUUAAACACUUUGUAAAGCUCUAUAAUAAUGAAAAAUCUUCUAUGCAUGGCUAAACGUUGUGUAAAGCUCUCUAAUAAGCAAAAAGCUUUUAAGCAAUUAACAUGUUGCAAUAAUGGUAAGUUAGCCCGGAGUUUGUGAGGUUUAAAAGAGUAUUUUAAUAAUAAAAGUGUUAAUUUCAUUCACUCGAGGUUUCGACUAAAUACAUCUAGUCCCUAUAGAUUUAAAAUUUCAUCAAAUACUUCAUCUAUCAUUUUCAUUUCUUAUUUUCACUCAUCUUACUUCUUUUUCAAAAUAAGGGAGGUUGAUGGUAAAAGGGUUUUUAAGACUUGUCUGACAACUUUUGAGAAUAGUUUUCCAUUCUAAUAUAUAUAUAUGUUUGACAAUUAGAAACUAUUUUUUAUUUUUUAUUUUAUGUUUUUAAAAAAAAGAAAAACAUAGGCAUUUUCAUAAAACAUCUUUUAGUUGUCUUUUGUUGUUUUCACUUGUUUUCGAAGAAUUAUUUUGGAAAAUAAUUAUACAAGCAUAUGAAAUGAUUAAAAAUAAAGUACUUGAUAUAAAAAUUAUUUUUAAAAUAUAUUUAAAAAUAUUAAAAAUAAAUUUAAAAUAUUCAAAGUUCUCAAAUAGACUUUUGUUCUAUAAAACAUUAAAGAAUAGUUUAAAAAAAUGUUCUCGAAAAUUAUUUUUCAAAACUAUUUUAAAAAAUAGUUACCAAAUAAGUCCUAAAUUAUUAUUAUUAUUUUAUAUUUCAAUUGUUUCUUAAAGUAAUGUAAAAAAAAAAAAAACCUAAAAAAAAAUUGCCCUAGAAAAAUAAACUUGUUAUUAUAACAAUGUUUCUAAAAAAACUUUUUUUUUUUUUUUUUUUUUGGGGUAACGAAAGACUAUUUCCAAGUAUAGCUCCCAAACAAAUCCUCAUUUUAAAGAGAGGAUAUCAUCACUUAUUGGGGAAGCUAUUUCUAGCAUUAAGUUGUCUCAUAUUUAACUGAAUUUUAUACACAUAUGAAGUGGGCUUUUAUUACAUUAGAGUUAGAGUUAUGUUUAAGUAUCUGAGAUGCCUUUAUCUUUUCAGCAUUUCUUAUCUUUUGAGAUCAGGGGUCACCCCGUUUGGUUGGUAGGGAACAAAAUUGUCUUUUCGUUUUGAAAGAAACAAACCAAAAUUCCCUAUCUUUAGGUUUAAUUUAUGGGACCAUCCCAUCCCCCUUCACCUUCAGGUCUAGUUUUCUCCUUAAACCCACCAAUUCUUUGAGUCAAGUCAUGGAAAAGGCAUAUGAAAAAUCAUUCCAUGAGGGGAUUUUUAGGUAACUACUAUAUUUUCAAAUUUAUUAGUAGAAAAUCCUUCCUUAAGAGUGAUAAAUUUAGUAUAUUAAGGUUAUGUUUGGUUCCCGGAAAAUAAUAAGAAAAGAAAAAAAAUACAAAGGAAAAUGAUUUUUUCAGCUGUACUAUGAAAAAUAUUAAAGGAAAUAAAAUAUAAUUAAAACUAAUUAAAAUCUUAUAUAUUUUUAAAUUAUUUAAUCUUUAUAUUGAUGAGUUAAAAUAAAUAAAAUGGGUUUAAAGUAACAAAAAAAAAAAAUAAUUUAUCAACUUUUAAUCUAUCUUUUUAUUUUCCUUCAUUUUUUUUUCCUUCUACUUUUUCUUUGUAUUUUCUUUCCCUUGCAUUUUCCUUCAAAUUUUAUGUGAACCAAACAUAUAAAAGUUUUAUUAAAAAUAAAAUAAAAAUCCUCAACUCAAUGUACUGGGUCUGAUUUUUUCCUCCAUGCCCACAAAAACUGUUGGUUUCAGAUCCAACCCUCUUACCUAAAAGCAAUCCAUGAUAGAAAGAAUGAACAAGAGUUUAGUUGGAUUGUGACACUCAAUCCACUAAAGUGGUUAAAACCCGCAAUCCAAAUAAUAUUAUUGUUAUUAUUUUUAUAAAAAGAAAGUAAAUGAAAAAGAAAAAGAAAAGGAAGAACAGUACAUAUUGUGGCAACUUGGACACAUGACUUGUGGCCCAAAGCUACAAAUAGAAGAUGGCAUGUUGAUAUCAUUUGAAAAAUGUUUUGUUGCAGGUGGUUCCCACAAUCCAAGCACCCAGAAACAAUGACAUUGCACCCACUUCACACCACCCAAUUCUUCAUUCCCUCAUUCUAUAUGGAGCUUCUCCUUUUAUUUCAUCCACUUUGAUCUGUUCAUUCCUUACAAGAAGAAGAUGAAGAAGAUCAACUUGAUACUCAGGAAGUGCAAGAGCCUGUCAAGGCAGCUUGGGAGAUCUUCAUCCUACAGCAGCCUGAGAUCCAAAUCCACCCGAGAAAAUGUAUGGGGAGACAUGCAUGAAGAAGAACACAGGGAAGCCAUACUGGUAGGGAGCUCAAAAAGGAGAUACAUGAUAAGUUCUAAGUACUUAAACCACCCUCUCUUGAACGCCCUCAUUGAUAAAUCAAAGCAAAGGCCCGGAGAGGCUUUACUGGUGAAGUGUGAGGUGGUUCUCUUUGAUCAUCUCUUGUGGAUGCUUGACAAUGGUGAUCCAAACCUCAGUUCUGAGUCCUUAGAAGAACUGGCCGAGCUCUACGCGCUCUGACGCCACGCCAAUGAUGAAGUAUUCGACUAGUUUAGAAGCUUAAUCUGUCCAUGGUAGGCUGCAGCUUCAUUCUGGAUUAUUUGGGAGGUGAUAUUCGGGGUUUUUUUCUAUGCAUUUGUUCUACAGUUGUUGGUAAUUAAUCCCUUCUUGUCUAAGUUUCUAACUCACUGUUUGUGAAGAUGCAACAGUUUAUUUUUUGCCAUGUACUUGGGGUUUUGUUGUGUUAUAUGAUUCUUGAUGCCUACAUUUCAAUAAAAUUCUCCAAAAGGAAUCUUGCCAAGAAGUGAUGUUUCGAUGUUGGUGGAGGAAUUAAUUAACAAACUAUAGUUUGAUGCAGUGAUUCAAUUGUUUGUUGAUAUUCAAAUGGACCCACUUGGGUGUUGUAUUGUAGUUUCAAUUGAGUGCAUGUUGAGAGGCUGAGAGCAAAACUGCAUUGAGUGAACAAUGAAAUUUGAAUAGUUUUGUGCUGUUUUUACCCAACAUUUAUGGUGUCCUUGGAAGUUGGAAUUGGAAACAAGAAUAGCAAAUUCAUUCCAUCUUCUAUUUAUCACUAUUUUUAGAUUCUUAUGAGGAAUGAGAAUAGCUAUUACUAUAUUUAGAUUUCAUACAAGGAAUGAGGAUAAGAAUAAAGAAAUUUGGAGUUGAUUAACAAUGUUUUUGAAAAUAGUUCUCAAAAUAAUUUUUAAAAACAAUUUUUAAUUGCUUUUAGAAAUAUAAUUUUAUUUGGAAACUCAAAUAUGAAAAAUAGUAAUCUCAACUUAUUCUUCAUUAAUAGAGAGAACAACUUUAAGAUUGAGAAUGAGUCAAUUUCAUGCUGAUCUCUUGUUCCAUUUAUAUAAAUUCAUUCUCAUCUUCUUUUAAUUAAAGGUUUAAAUGAGACGGAAUAGAAAUGAUACGAGAAUUUCCCAUAAUUGCCACACCCUGCUUAUUUUUAUUUUUUAAAAAUUUUAGAUUGUUCUAAAUUUUUUAAUUACAUUAAAAAUAAGUUAUAUAUUUUUAUAACUUAUUUUGUUUGAGGAGUAGCUUUUUUAAGUCAUUUGUGUUAAAAAUGGAAAAAUGAAAAAAAAAAAACAAAUUUUAAUUUAAUUAAAUAUGUAAUUGAGUUGAGUCGAACAUGACAAGACAAUAUUAAAAUCCGUUCCAAGUUUUUUGAAAAAAAAAAAAAUACUCAAACUCAUCCCUUACUGGUUUAUUUUCAUCCAUAUAAAAUUUUUCAAAAUAUUCUUUAUAUUUUCAAUUAUUUCUUAGAAAAGUUCACAAUAAACAACUGAAUUGCCUCAAAUUUAUUUAAAAAAUAAUAAUAUAACUUCAUAAAAAAAAAAUUAAAACUAUUUUUAGUAAAAUAUUUGCCAAAAUACUUUUGUAAGUUGGAAAACUACUUUCAAGAAUAGUUUUCAAACUCAACUUAAUUUUAUUAGGAUUUUGAAUGUUGUCUUUGAGAACAAUGAUGCAUUUCGAUCCAUCCACUAGAAAAUUCUAUCAUUUAUUUUCUGGGGAUCAUGAUCCACAAUAUUUUCAUAUGUUUUCAGUAUAUCAACUCACAAUUUAAAAAUAAGUUUUUUUUUAAAAAUAAAAUAAAAUAAAAGAGAUUUGGAUUUCAAAAUGAUUUGAGAAAAAUUUUACAAUUUAUUAUUUUAUUUACUUUUUAUAGUCAAUUAAUUCUUGAUAAGAUCUGUCAUGCCACAUUAGCAAACAAAAAAAAAAAUCAAAAAAUUUUUAUUACAUGUUUUUCGAUUUUUUUUUCCUCUUCCAUUUAAAUAACUAAGAGUUAGAAAAUACUUACAUUUUUAAAAUAUUUUUUUGUUUUGUGUUUUCUACCGCAAGCUAAAACUACAGAAUUUGGGCUCUUUCUUGAUUUUUAUUUGGAUUAAUUGAUUAAAAAUAACGAAAAGAUCUCAAAUUUGUAAAACUAAUAUCUUGAUUUCAUUUAUUAUCGAACAUUUUAAGAUUUACCAGUGUUUCUCAAUCAAUUACUCUUCCAUUGAAGUGGUAUUAAUAGAAGUUGAUUCGUUGUCUAUGUUAGACUCGAUCAUCAUCUGGUUGAGCUCAAUGGUGGAUAAGGGUUUUUUUUUUGUAGAACCCUGCAAUUGGUAUGGACAUGAGGUGUCUUUGUAUACACUAUGUAUACUUCAAUGCACUCUUCUGUUAGGCAAUGUAUACAUAAAACCAUAGCAUUCUUCUCAUAACAUUCUAGUUGAUGAUUCAAAACAUUAGAUUAUGUUCGAGUUAUGUUGUAAUUUGAGUAAGGAGAGUUGAUCCUUGAGUCCUUAGAAGUUGACAACCAUCGUCGCUUAAAUGUUUCAAAUUUUCUCCUCACCAUACAAUUCCGUCCAAUAUGUAAAGCCCAUCGUUUGUCUAACUUGAAUUUGCAAUCAACCUAAGACAAGACGAGAUAUAGCAUGAGAUAUAAUAAUUGUAAGUUGAGAUAUACGAUAUACAUAUGUCAUAUGUCAUGGAGCAUAAAUUUAUUAAUCUCUUUCUAUUUCUUCAUUUUUUUUUCUCAUUUAUUUUAUAUUACUUAUUUUGCAAAACAAAAAAUAGAAUUAGAAAAUUAAGAGUGUGUUUGAUAGUGAUUCUACAAAACGUUUCUAGUAUUUCUAACACUUGAAUGAUAAAAUUUUUAAAGUGUUAAAAAUAUUAAAAGUGCUUUCUAAAAUCACUUCCAAACAGACUUUAAGUAUUUGUUGAGAUUCAAUUCCUAUUUUUUGUUUUGAAAAUAAGAAAUAUUUUAUGAGUAGAACAUCUUGUACAAAAAGUAUAUAUUUACCUUAUAUCUUCAAAAUCACUUCAAAAAAUUUUAAUAUUUGAGGUAGUAAAAGUUUUUUAUACCUCAAAAUCAUGUGAAGUCACUAAUCAUUAAAUAUUAAGUUUUAUCAAACGCUCACUAAGUUCAGAGUUUAAUAGGAUGUUUGAGUCCCUAUGUGGUUCCCAAUCAUUCCUUUUUGCUUUCCAAGUACUAACUUGGAUUCAAACCAUUCAACCUUUCUUUUCUUUCCUUUUUGGUCCUAAUUGCAUCCUUGGCAUACAGUUUUUCUCCUAAUCACUCUUCCACUUGAUUUAGAGCAUCAUUUCUAAUAUGCAUUAACGAACUCUAACCGGCUGAGGAUAUGGUUAAUCUCUAGUUGAAUAGCUAAAAGUUGGGUUACCCGAUCUAUGAUAUCUCUAAAACUGAAUUAAAAAGGUCAUUCAGUCAGGCUAGCCAUGGAGCUAGAGGCUAUAAUAAUACUGGUUCAAAGCUGUCUUAUUCACCGCUCUAACUCAAUAUCAUCUAUAUGCAAAGGGACAAUGUACCUGGGCUCAAGCCAGAAGACCAAUUCAUUUUGUUUAUCCUGUAUUGGAAGAAGGAUCCAACCGCGUCCUCUUUGGCUCGUGGUCACCUAGCUGCAAUGAAAUUGCUGCUCCAUCAUCUUCAUCAGUGUCAUGCUUCAAUGAAGAAAGAUUCUCAGGAGUCACCCUCGCCUGUUCAAUGUUUUCAUGGAGAGGAGGUGCUUCAGGGAAGCUAGGUAUGAACUGAUGCUCAAAACAAGGACAAACCCUCACCCCAUCUUCCAGAAGAAACUCUGCUUCCACUAAUGGUCGAUUCAAAUCUGGGCUGCCAAGUCCAUCAUCCCAAGGGUCAUGCUGGAUUUGAAAACCCUCAGACUCGAAUUUCUCUUCAGCUCUGUCCUUUGGAAGCAUUUUAUCCUGGGGUGAUGAGUCCCCAACUGUGGAGCCUAUUGCUGUUGCAGAGGCAGCCAUUUGUUCCUGCAAUGCCACUACAGCACAUACACAAAAUAAAGAUGAGUCUUUAUACAAAAAAAUGUAGCUGACACAAGCUCCCUUACAUUUUACCAUAUUCAAUUUCAUGUCCAUGUGUUAGGUUUUUGUUUAUCCUCCUCAAGUUGAGCAUAUGACAGCAUUUAUACCCCAAAAGACCCAAUAUUUCAUGUAAGUUUGUAACAAUGCUUUCUCAGCCUCUAACGUAAAAAUAAAUGAAUAAAUAAGAAAAUACAACUACUUAUAUUCUCCUUCAAAACAAGUUCAUCAACUGAAAUGACAUUGAUCCCUCGUUGUUGAGAUUAUAUUAUGGUAUUUCUUCUCUAACUUCAACUCGAAAAAAGAAAAACAGAAAAAAAAAAUUGACGGUAAGAAGCAAGAGUUGAUGAAAUCAGAGAGGGAUAGGGAAAAAAAAUUAGACUAUCAAGGAGGAAUAUUACAAUAAAACACAAGGGAACUGAUAUAAGGCAUUAGGGAAAGGACAAACCUCUGAGCCCUUCACUAGUUGUGAUGAGAUCAAGUUCAAGGAGAUUUAGAAGGCGCCCAAUAUCAACUGCACUUGUCCAAUUCUCUAGGGGUAAGCCAGCUUUCAACUUAACUCGGCCACGGUUACCAUUUCCACCCCAUAUGAUGCCAAUUGGCCUUGCCUUUUCUCCAUCCUGGCCAGUUAACACAAUGAGGCUUCCACUGUCUCCUUCAAGGUCAAAUGUCUGUUGGUUCUCACCAACAACAAUCAAAUCUGUUAAGAGGCACAUCCCUCUCUCAUCGAUGUACUCAAGGGCAUAAGCAAAUAUAGUUCCAGUUGUCAACCCAGAACUUCUCCCAACCUUCACCACUUGUUUUCCAAUAAUGCUAUUCAUUGGAGACUGCAAGUCUAUUUUCUUGACAUCUCCUAUCUCUCCUACACCUUUUACCAAUGUUGUUAUUGUGCUCAUGUCAAAAUCAUCAGCAAAUGGUAUGAAUGCCCCAUCCGCUCUCACAAAUGUCUCUGCAAAUGCAGCAAACCGUAAUUUGUACUAUGGGGUUCAGGAGAUGACAAGAUUAUCAAAUUACUGGGAAACCAAUUUGUCAAAAUAGUCAAUUUUAUCUAUUACCCCAAGGAGCCUAUGUAUCAAAACGGGGAAAAUAGACGUUGUGUUAAGAGGUCCAGGACAAAACUACAUUAUCAAAUUUACUGGGAAACCAGUUUGUCAAAAUAGUCAAUUUUAUCUAUCACCCCAAGGAAGCCUAUGUAUCAAAAUGGGGAAAAUAAGGAAAACAUGUUAAGAGUCUAAAACACACACACACACAUAUCAUGGAUCGGAUGCAUUAGAUUGAGGUCUGAUCAAUAUGAGUGCCAUGUUUAUUGCAGUAUGAUGUCAGACUAGGAUAGAUGCAGUAUGUUAAUAAUUUGGGACAAGAGGGCAAUCUCAGUCCCGAAAAUGCUGUGAUGACUAUGGUACAUAUAUUUUCCGGAAAAUUGGGGAUCAAGACAUGAUUUUUGAACCCAGCUAAGUGAGAGCAAAGUCAAGUUUCCAUGAACAUGCAUGGUCCAAGAGAGGGAUAAUUAGGUAAACUCUACCACUGUAAUUCUAUUGAUAUAAUAGGGCCAGGUAAAAUCAGGGAACACCUCUCAUCCCAUAUCCCCUGUUGCAAUAAACUCCAUUUCUAAGAACUUAAACUUGUUUCAGCAAAAGCUGAGUGAAGGUAUGACAAAGCAUUUAGAAAACAAAAUUUGAAGUUCUCAUGAUCACAUGAGCACUCAUAAUAAAAGUGUAAAAGUGUAGUUUAUCAUCUCUAGAAGCCACAUAUGUCAUGAUAACUAGCCACACAAAUUGGAAAUACAUUACCUGGGUUUAUUCCAGCAAAGAUGCCAAACCAAAGAUCAUCUGUGAUGAAUGAAGUAGCCCUCUCCACUGCACCAAGAUAUACCCCAGGUCCAAGUGUUGGUGGCAAAGGAUGAAACAUCUUCUGACUUGGGUAAUCUAAGUUAACUGCAACAUGCCGGUUUGUGAGAAAACCAACUUGUCUGUUGCCAGUUUGACUCCUCACAAUAGCACCUAACGUUCCAAAACCGUCUUGGGAUGCAACCUGAGCAUAUAGCUUCCAGCCUAUCAGAUGGGAAGCACAAAUAGCUACUCUAAAGAACCAUCUCAAGUAAAAGAAACAAAUCAAUCAAAAGACAAAGCAAAGGAGACAUGCAUAAUUGUGAAGUACCUAAAAGGUGGCAAAACAAAUAAUAUCUCAUAAUAGGCAUUCUCAGUGAUGCCUUAUAAGUCUCAUCUUCAAAUUCUAAGAUACCCUCAGGUAGACUGCUCAGUUGACUGAAUAAUACAACAAUCACUAUACCAGCAUCGGUAGAUAAUUAGCGAACACAAAAUAUUUUAAAAAUAAAAUUGAAACCCACUUAUAGCAAUAAUACCAUGAGAGAAGAGAAAAUUUUUGGAGAAAUAUCUCUUAACUUCUUUGUUCGGAUACCAAAAUGCCCUGAAGUGAUUUUUUGGUUUUUCCAAGCAAUACAAUUAACACUAUAAAUUAGAUCAUAUCUUCAGCUAUGAACUAGCAUUUUUGGCAUUCCUGCUUAGAGGCUUGCAAAGUUCACAGUUCUCUUAUGACAAGCCUGUGAUUCUAGCUUGACAAGUUGGAAAUACAUUCAAGCUCUUAAUAAACUAAUUUUUCUACCCAGUUUUUCAAAAGGAAAAAAAUAAAAAGAAAAAGAAAAAGAAAAAGAAAAAGAAAAGCAAAGGAAACAUGAUCUAUCAUUUAAUUAUGAGUCAAGCUCAAUCCAAAAUUUUCUAUCUAGUUUUUCAAAAGGAAAAAAAUAAGGAAAAAAAAGGCAAAAUAAACGGGAUCUAUCAUUUAAUUAUUAGUCAAGCUCAAUCCAACAACAUACUGUCUUGAAGUUGGAUGCAUAAACUCCAUUUUUCAUUUCUCUGUCUAGGGUCAUAUCUUCCACUGCAUGUUUAGGUCAUCAUGCCUUUCAGACCUAAACAUGUUCUUGAUUUUCCCCUUAUCCUUGUAGUGCCAUCAACUUGACCAAAGAAUCUUCAUCAACUUUCUCUCAGCUUGUCCUCUAAGUCACAUGUGUAUGUAUGUAUGUAUGACAUUCAGCAGUAUUUUUUUGGAUAUUUUCCACAUACCCUGAAAUGUUUGAGCUUCCCAACGGCUAGCACCUGAUUGGUUGCACAAUUUGUGCUUCCAGGGUCUACACAAACAGCUAAACCCUAACCAAGUUUUAGAAGAAUACUACAAUUGUAAUGAUCCCUACAAAAACACUAAACAGAAGAUGCAGGUUAUAAUGCAAAACAAGAUUAUAUUAUACCAUGCAAACAUAGGUUUGGGAUAUGGAUAAAUAACAGAUACAGUAAUCCACAUCGUUCUAUUUAAUACAAGUGACUUCAAUGACUCAAAAGAGAUGAAUAAAAGUUUGUUAUGCCUGGUUAUACUUAUGAAAAGUAGUGACAACUGUAUGAACUCUAAAUAUUCGUACAUUGUGAAAAAAAUAAAUGGAUAGACAAAGUUAAAUAUGUGCAAUCAAAUUACACCAGUUGGUUAAUAAAAAACGAAAGAACAAUUUGUAAGUGCAAGUGUGUGUGUAUUGAGAUUAAUUUUGCAACUGCAACUGCAAAAGGAGGAAGAAUUUUGCAACUGCAAUGAAAGCAUAGAGAUGUCUGCACCAAUUUCUAACAUUUUAAAGGCAGUAUGCAGAAAAAAUUUAAGAAGAAGGAGAAGAAGAAGAAGAGUUUCUAGAUUGCCAAGUUUACAUCAAAACAAUUAUGACAUUGGAUAAACAGAACAUUAUAUCUCAGUCAAGGCUGAAGGUUGGUUGGAUAAACAAAAGAUUAUAUCUCAGUCCAAUUUUGAAGGGGAAUAAGGUAUAAUUUUCAUGCAGAGAUAAAACUACCACCCUCCCAUCGAUGGACCAGUUUAAUUAAAACAGAAAGGCUGCAAGAGGCCCUGAGAAUACCUGAGAACCUGAACCGAUACAUGGAUCACCCCCACGCAGGUCAUCCAUAAUCUCAGUAUAAUACUGUUCUUUGGGAGCUAACUCAGGUGCACCAAAAUAAGCAAAUUCAACCACAUCCACAUCACACCAUAGACCUCCAGGCCCCUGAUAGAAGGAAGCAAUUCAACAUCAAAAUAAAACACAUGUCAAAUCAUACAGGACAUGCAUUGAAAAAUAUCAAACAAUUCAAAACCAAAAGGGGAAAGGGGAAAAAAAUUGCAUGCAUCACUAACAUCUUCAAACUUAUUCCAUCCUUAUUACUUAGCCAAUUCUGUCCCCUCCUCAAUUAACAAAGAAAAAUCAAUGUGGACAGAAGUUAGGUGAACAGCCUUUCCUCACCUCUAGCACAUUGGGAAAACACUGGAUGGGGUUCAGCCAUUGCUUGUGGACUUUCCGGGAAACAAAAACAAGAAUGGCUGGUAUGUCAGUCAGCAUGCCCCUUCGAAUACGGAACCCAAUUGCAGUGCCAAGACUGUAACAACGCAAGAUUUUGCUAUGAAAUGCCCUUAUGGUCAUGACCUCAAGCAAGGAGGUUGCUUGCUGCCCUUUUGGCAAUGGACCAGGAGUUUCGGAUAGCACUGCUUUUUGAAGGUUGGAAAAAUAAUUUGCCCUCUCUUCAGCAGCAUCAUUUAAUCUGCUAGAGGUAGGCCAAGAGAAGUAAGCAGCAUUACUUUCCGAGUGCUGUCCAGCUGAUGCAAAGGGCUGAAGUGUAGGUAGACUUGAGGAAGGCAGAUGAGAAUGACAGCAACAGUUCCUUUCCUGAUUUGGUGCUGAUUCUUCCGACAAUGUGGAACCAGAACAGCGAAGCCUCAAAUUCAGUUUGGUCUGAUCCAUCUUUUGGUUCACCUGCAGAAAUAAUUUUAGUGCCACUUAAAACAUCUAAGAUAGUGGUUCCAAUACUCGUAAUUAGCAAACUUCUCAUUCCAUAAAAUCCCUUUUUUGUUCCUUGUCUGUUUUCUUGUAUCUCAUAUUUAGAAUUUUAAGCAUAAAAAGUAGCAUGAAAGAUCAAAAAGUAAAUUUCUAACGAUACUCAAGCUACAAAUAAAAGGCUUAACUUCAGUCCUACCUCAAAAAUAUUCAAAUAUGUUGACUGAGAGAAAGGAGAAAAUAAUAGCAUUGCUUUAGUUGAAGAAAUAAAGAACUCAGUGAAUAAAUAAACAUCAAAACAAACCAAAGUCAGAGAAUCAAGAAGAAAAGAAACAAAAGACUUCAGGAAAUGAAAAGCAGUGCUCCAGGAAAAAUACAAAAGGAAAGCAAAUAUAAGGAAGGACGAAUGAUGGUAACAAACAGCUGAUAUAAAUCUUCCACUUCAUCCAUACAUCAAAAGCUGGCAAAGCUCAACAUGAUUUGGAUAGUAGUACCCCAAGCUUGAAGAAAGAAAUUGCCAAAUCUCAACAUCAAUGUCUAGCUAAUAGAAUAGGUGAAUUAUAAGGAUAACUUAUCAACCUCAAACUAGGCCAAACUGUCUAAAGCAUUGAAAUGGAAACAGAAGAAAAUAAACUGUCAAUGAACACUUUAUCCAAUGCAGACUAAAUCCUGCUUUUGUGUACCUUGCUAGUUCUUUAAUUAAUGUUUCUUUCUAAAUAAAAGGUAAAAAUAGAAAAUAAAAGGUGAUUUGCAGGAAAAAUAAACAAUAUAAAAAUUAAAAUGAGCACACACACACAAAAACCCACUAAAUUCAGUGUCAUUUUUUUUAAUUAGAGAUGACAAUUUUACUGCAGUGUAAUAAAAACGUACAAGAAGAAUUCUUCACAUAAGUAAUAAAAACUUCAAGGACUGCCAAAGAUGUGUCAGAUGCCAGUAGCUGUCAUAGUGAUACAGAGGAAAAUAAUCAAGGAAGAAAGGACUCUCCUACAAUAUCCUCUAUACUAAAUGCACCUCACUUGGCCAAUGAGUCUACCAUGUAAGUUGAGCAUGAUAACCACAAAAGGAGCAUCCCAACCCAGUAGACUAAUCAAGGAUCUUACAUAACAUGGAAUCUAAUUUCCAAAGCAUCCUUCUCAAUUUACUCAUGCAAGUGCCAACUUCUCCCAAAUAAUUACAAAACACAUGCUUCAUUUCCAUGAUAUGUAUCAUCUCCCUCUUCCCCUUUCCCCAAGAAUAAAUAAAUAUGCACAUACAUUCACAAAUCCUCAAUUUGGGUCCUAGAUUUUUCCACAAGAACUAACUUAUUAGCUCCUAGUUCUAGAUGAGUCUUUAAAUCAAGUUACUUCAUAAAAUAACUUGGUUUCAAUUUUCUUUCUUUCUUUUUCAUUUUUUUCUUUUGGCUGGUGGUGAUGGGGGUGGCUUGUGUGAAAGGGUAGAGUUCACAUGCUAACAAGAAAUGUGUGUUUACAUUUACAUCACAAACUUAAGACAAAGUAACCAUUUUAGCAAUUAUAUGACAGAGUAAUCACAACCAAUGACAAUCAUACCACUAAAACUUUCUUAAAAUACAUAUCCUGUUUUCUAAUACCAUAAAAAAAGACUAGAUACAGAAACCAUCCAAACAAAAAGCAUGACAUACAACAAUUAUAAGG
rnacentral:lncRNA from 1 species